rnacentral:lncRNA from 1 species
AGUUAUGAAAAUUGGCUAAAUGAUCUAGAGGUUAAUCAAAAGUAAUGGUUUUUGUUGCUAAAAUUAACGAGAGAUCUUGAGUUCGAAAUGUUGUGUGCAUGUUUGUUCUUUUCAAUUUUUACGAGUUUCUAUUUGGUUGUUAAUUUCUUUUUAAUUAUUAGCUAGUAGAUAUGUGUGGCAAUUUUAAAACAUUUGUGUCAAUUCAAGUCUAAAUUUCAACAAAGAAUAAUGCAUAGACCAAAUUUGCAAAUCAUAUGAUGUGUCACCAAUAAGUUUAAUUUAGUAUCAUUUAUUGCUUAUACAUAUCAAUUAAAGACUCGAAAGCAUCAUUAUUUUUAUAGACCCAUAUUGACAAGAUUAGUAAAUAAGAAAAAACACAUCACGAUUUAUAUAAAAACACUUUAAAAGUUCAGGUAGAAAAACAAGACUCAUCAUCCAUCUACUUGUAAGCCCGAAGUUUUUUCGUUCCGGUACAAAAGAAAUUAAUUAAUUUUUCCGUGCUUUUAAAUUAUUGAGCUUGAAGUGCUUUUGUAAGUAAUAACUUUAUUGAAGUUUUACGUGUGAAAACAAUAAUUUUCUUAUAUAAAGUUAGGGCACAUUUUUUUGGGUCGCCCAGGGCCUUAAAAAUCUCAAAACCGGCCCUGCUUUAAGUAGGUUAUUACUUAAUAAAGGUGCGGCUAAAAAAAUAUUAUUAUUGUUUACUUAGUUAUCCUCAAUAAAAAUUGUAUAGAUACAAAGAACUAUUGACAAAAAAAAAAAAAAAGAUAAGAAGAACUAUUAGUGGAGUACGUUGGUUUCCAAGAUGUAAAAUAUGCAAAAAAAAAAAAAAAAAUACACUCAACCUUUAAAAUCUAUUGCAUAUAUGUACGUAUGUAGUACUUUCUUUAAGUUAAUGCCUAUCUAUAAACAUGCUUGUGAAGCUAAAAAUAGUAUGGCUUCAACAAGAAAUUGUCCAUAUUGACGAGGUAUUACGUACUCGUAAGUUCAAAGGCGUGAUAUCAACUCUAAAAAAUAAAAUAUUGUCUCAAAUAAUUAUAGAGAAAUAUUUUAGUUCAUCUUAAAUGUUUACUUGUGACAUUGCAUAUUUUUGUACUUAUGGACAAUUAUUAUUAUAUGGAGGUGAUUUUCCUUAAUACGGGACAUAUGACAAUUAUAACUUAUUACAAUGUAGAGUUUAUUUAUAUACAUAACUAGCUCCAAGUUUGGACCAUAAAUUUUUAUGACUAUAAAGAAGGUUAUUCUUAAAUAGAGCAUUAUUAUAAAGAUGUUUUACUAUAUAUUUUUAGGCCUUUUUUUUUAUAUUAAGUUGUCCUGAUUCAAUUAUGUUUUCUUUUAGUUUUAUUAACAAUUACUAAUACUAUAGAGGUAAUUUGACCAACUCUUGUAGAGUUUUUGUUACUAUUUUCUUGCAUCGCAAUUUUGAACUGAGAUUGGAGUUUGGCAUGCAAGUAAAAGCGUGUAUAAGGCCUUUGAAGUUUGAACGUUGACUAUUUUAAUUGAAGUUUUAGUACGCUGAGGUAUAGUAUUGGUGUGUGCUAACCUUUUACACGACAUGAAUACUUUAACACACAUACACACACAAAAAUUGAAUCAUAUUGUGAUGACUCAAGUCUUAUUUGACUUGAAAUGUGCCCAAGCGUGUUUAUUAAAUUAACUAAGACAACUCAAAACUAAUUAAGACCUCUCUAAUCCACUAGCCAGACCUUAGUAUUGUUUUUUCUUAGUUUUAUAGGAUAAAUCGAAUAAGAAUAAGUCAUGAUGUCUAGAAAGGUUGUCUAAAAUGAUUCGCUGUGAAAUUUGAACUUAUAAUCUUCUUUGGAAAAAUGAAAAUCAGGUGCCGCUAAUCAGGGCCGGCCCUGAGGGGGUGCCAGUCGUGCGACCGCACAGGGCCCCCGAUUUUUAGGGGCCCCUGAAUUUUAAUAACCUUUGUAAUGUACUACAUAUAAAAACAAUGUGAACACAAUUCACAUUGUUUCCUUAGGGGAAUCGUCAAGCGCUGAUACUUGCGUUUGUGUUUGCACGGGUUCGACUCCCAGUAGAACCAUUUUGGGCUUUUUUUUAAACUACAUUAAUUUUUUUUCUUUUCUCUUUAAUAUUUGUAGUUUAAUUUCUAUCAUUAUAAAAGAGAACUUUUGAUGAUAAAUCUAUAAUUAGGAAUAUCAUAAUUAAUUAAAAUCCUUAAAAAGUUUGAAGAUAUAAUCUUUAAAACCCCCUUUUCAUAUAUGACAUCAUUUAAUCAAAUACAUAUCGUUCGUUUAUUCUUUUGGUCAGCUUUUAAGGAUCAUCUAAUUUUCAUCCUAUUUGAAAACCAUUUAGUCAUCCAUAUAUAAUAAAACUUUGCUCACAACACUAAAGUGGAGGUGAGUAGGUGAUGCUCAUCCCCCUAUUGAUUACCGUUAAAUUAAUUUGGUUUAAUUGAUUUAAGACACGAAUCUCAAAUUCUAACUAAUCCAACAACAAUCAACCGAGUGAGGGUUAGAAUCAUUCUCACUUUAGGGAGUGAGAAAAAAUGCAUUAAAAAAACUUACAGCUCAUUAUAAGAUGCUACAAAUAUCAUAACCAGUGAUUUGUUUAACUAGUUCAUAAUAAAGAACAUGAGUUGUUCUGAUUAUGAUAUAUGUACGGUGAUAUGAUAUGUACAUAUCCACCACACCAUGCUUUUGUAUUUAAAAAGUAAGUUCAAACCCAAAAACAUAAAGAAUGUAGAUACAUAGCCACCAAACCAUGCUUCUUUUUUAUUUAUUUUCUUUUGCGUUUAUAUCAAUUUAUACACAAGAAAUAUAUAUAUAUAUAUAUAUAUAUAAAAGAAAAUAUAGCAACCAAAAUUUAAAUCUUGUAAGGGCCUCUGUUUGAGUCUCGCACAAGGCCUCCAAAAUCUCAGGACCGGCCCUGCCGCUAAUCCAAAACGAUAAUAAGCGAACAAAGUGUAUUAAAAUAUUAUUGGAGGAAAAUGAAGAGAAUGUGUUGUACUUAAUUAAACGUGCAAGAAAAUUUUGGUAGAAAUUAGUUAAUUUGACCUCAAAAGAAAUGUUGAAAGAGGAAUUGAGGAAUAGUUUGGAUCAAAUGAUAUCACUGCUGACAACUUUGGAUCAUAUUCUCUAUUUUGUCUUUCUCUUCUAUAUAAAAUCAAUCUAAUAUAUGUUGACGUGGCUUAACCGUGACUGUUCAAAUAGGAAGGAAGGGAAGGAGAGGGAAAAAAAGAGGGGAGAUAUACACACACACACACUCUUAAAUUUAAACCUUAAGCUCACAAGACAUACACUCAAAUUGUCAUUCAAAGUGUUUGGGGUUAAAGUGUAUACGCUCAAAAGAUCAUUAUAUGAAUGCUCUACCAUAAGCAUGCAGAUUGAUCUCAUCUCCACACAUCAAAAAUUACCUUCUUUGGAUCAAGUAGGUCUUUGUGAAGGGUUGUAAAGGGGCUUCGGUGACUUGGUUAAUCAAAUAAAGAAUAUGGGAAACACAAAGUCUAAGAAACUAAUAGAGUAGUUGGAAAUGAAACCGAGAGAGACGUGCGACAAUUAACCAAGGCAAUAAAUUGAGCAGUUUGAUGAACGACACAUAACUGCACAAUGAAUAUCUGAUGAUGGUAGCUCACUUGUGACUCAUAAUGAUUUCUUUUCCUCUUUUCUUCUUUUGUUCUUCAUUAGUAGUUGGGCUUUCUUCAUAAAAUUUUCAUCUUCAACUUUUAAUAACCUUGAACUCUCUCUCCUUUUAAAAAAACGUAUUCUACUAGCUUCUUAGUAGGGUAGGGAAUUUUUAAUAUAAGAGGCUAGGUAAGGAAAAUGUAGGUUUAAGAACAAAAGGCUUACAUAUAGGCUCAUAAGAGCUGACUAGGGGAAAAGCAUGUAUAAGGCCCUGACAUAUAUGGCAAUGGUGGUAAAGUUCUACUACCUACUGUCGUCUCCAAAAUAAAGUAAUAUAUGAUACAAAGUUUUGAGAGAUCUUAAGUCAAAUUCUAGAGAUGCAAAACACAUUAGAUCACACACACGAAUUAAAAAGAGUAUAAAAAUGCAUACACUAUAUUUAGGCACAAAAGCUCACAUGGGUGCGGGUUUUACUCAAGCUAAACAUGUUCAACUCAUUAACAUUCAUAUAUUAUCAAUAAGAGGCUAUUGUCCACAACAGGUCAAACAUAUCAUGCUAGGGUCAUGCUAUCAAGUGAACAAAGCUAGAACUCAUAUGAAAUCAUACUUUUCCAUUUUACCUCAUAUAUAUAUAUAUAUAUUUUUUUUAUUUUUAUUUUUUUAACAAGAAGACAGAAAAAUGCAGUAUCAAUGCUAUAUGAACAUGCAAGCAUACAUAAAUGAAAGCAUUUGCAAAGAGAGAGCUCAGUCAAUAUAAACAAUUUGAAGGUGGAGAGGAAUUGACAAAUACACCACUUUGAUUCUCUUUUAUUCUCCAAACUUGUUGCACUUUUGGAACAACCGUACUCGGAACAUAUAUAAUUCUUGCAAUCCGAUUAAUCUCUUUCAAAUAAGUCACAAAUUGUUUCUUAAGAUUUGCUUUUUUAGAGUUCAUUGAAACUUUUUUCUUGAGAAGAAUUUUUCUUCCUAAGCUUAUUGCACUUAGGCCGGAUGUGACCAGGAAUCCCACAAAAAUGACAUAUAGGAAUGAACUUCCUAGAUUGUUUGGGUUUGUUAGGAUUAACUGAAGUCUUGGCAGGAUUUGACACAUUUGCAAAGAUUGUAGAAGUUUCAGAAGUAAGACCUAAAACUGGAUUGACACCUACUUUCAAGCUAGGAAAUAUCAAACGCUUUGACAAAUCUUGUGAUGGAAGAAGAACUAAUAGUCUUUUCAAACUCAAAUCCUAGACCUUUUUUAUCUCCAAAAUUCUUUCCAUAGCUAAGCAUCUUGUCAAAUUUUCCCGAACAUGCUUAAUUCCUGAACUUUGUUUUUUAUCUCAACUAGUUCAUCCUAAAGAACUUUCUUAUCAAACGUGAGAGUGCUUUUGUGGUUUGAAGAAUAUGUAUCUUCUCUAACAAUGACUCUCAUAGUUUCUCUCUAUUGUCUAACUAAGAUUGAUGCUCAGCUUUAGCUUCCUUCUUUUCACUUUCAGCUAAUGCAAGUUUCUUUUUCGAGUUAGAGUUAUCCUUCUUUUCUUUACUUGCACACUGAUGUCUUAAAGAUUAGAAUAUUUUCUCAGGAUUUCUUCCAAGUCAGGUUCCUCAACAAAUGAACCUUCUGUGUCAUAUCCAUCAAUAGUUCCUAUAAAGGUAGUUGUAUCCUUUUCAUUUUCAGAGGAAGAUGCAUCUCCUGAAUCAUUAUCUCUCCAAGUAACAUUCAUUGCCUUAUUCUUCUUCUCCUUCUUCUUGAUAGUAUUUGCACACUCAUAAGCAAUAUGUCCAUACCCUUGGCAUUCAUGACAUUGCGCUCUAUUGUUAGAACUCUUACACUCCCUAGUUCUAGAGGAUUUAGAUGCUUUGUCAUGUGAGACAUCUAGAGAACGAAAGUUUCUAGAGUUUGAACCUAAGUUGGUUCGUUGCUCACGACCCUUGGAAUUCUGAGAGUUGAGAAACCUUCUAAUUUGCAUGGUUAAUGCAACCAAUUCAUCUUCGAACAAGUCAUCAAUUGAGCCAUCGCUUUCUUCUUCUUUGACAUCUUUGAGAGCAAUGUUUUUCAUCUUAUUGGAAUUAGGAAGCUCUAACUCAUGUUUGCAGAGGGCCAAUCAGUUGUUCGAGCUUGUAGGUGUUUAGAUCUUUUGAUUCCUCAAUUGCAGUCCUUUUAAUAUGAAACCUCAUAGGAAGUGAUCUUAAGAUCUUUUUUCACAAUUCUAUAUUUUGGAAUGCUGUCACCAAGAUUGUGGCAGCCAUUGACAAUUACGCUAAGCUUAGCAUAUAAGUCAAAGAAACUCUCAUCAUCAAACAUUGUGAUAUUUUCAAAUUUUGUGAUGAGAUGUUGAAACUUGGAUUCUUUAACAGUUUAGUAACUUCAAGAAUAUCCCAAACUUCUUUCGCCAUUGUACACUUGCUUAUGUAAUCGAAUUGUUCUGGCGAAACGGCUAUGAAGAAAGUAUUCAAAGCCUUUUGGUUAAAAGUGCUAGAGCUACGCUCAUCAUUGCUCAAUUCUUUCCUAGGCUUGAGCUUAGAUAUAGAAUCAAAGGACUUUCCUUCACAUUUUGUUUCUUUGAUCAUCAGAGGUUCCCAACCUUCUUCAACAGCAAGCCACACCUUGUCGUCUUGCGCCCACAAAAACGAUUUCAUUUUUGCCUUCCACGCAGCAUAGUUGUCACCAUCAAAGUGUGGUGGAUGAGAAAUUGAACCCAUAGCAUGAUUCAUCCUAGGCAAUCAACAUCCUCACAACUGUUGGAAAUUAUAUAUUAUGAUAUGAAAUAUUGUAAUAUAUAAUUUUAACAAUUGAAUGAAAAAUAGUGUUAACCAAUUUCUUAGAAAGGUUAUGUUGUUUAGGUGAUACUUGAUAAGUGAUGUAUACUUAUAGAUGAAAAGUUACAUCUCUUUAAUAAGUAGAAGUUGGAUUCUAUAUAAACACAUGAAACCAUUGGUAUUAAAGAUAGAAAAUUAGAGUUAAUUUUUAGUCUUGAGAAAUAGGGUUUCCCCACUUUGUUUCUCAAAUGAUUCGUGUGUCAAAUUCCGAGUCGUGUCUUGAGAGUACAAAAUAUAUAAAGUUCGCUAGAGUCCAAAGAUUGAAGUGCUUUGACUUCGGAUUAUAGAUUGUUGAAUCCUGGGAGAUGGACGCCUACCGAACUACAAGCACAAGAGUAGGGGCAAAAUUCUAUCUUUAGGACAUUGCAUUUAUGCAAGCCUCAAUCUCCAAGUUUGUCAGUUAUUCUAACUUUCACUCUAGUUGUUUAUAUUAAUCUCAAAUAUAAUUGAUGUUGUGAAUUUCUUUAUGAUUAUUAUCAUUGGAAUUAUAUUGUUAUUUUUUCAUAUUUUCUAAUAUUGCUCCAACAACAACCUUAAUCUUGGAGAGCUUGUUCGGCGCUUUCCUGGUGGUCUGGUGAUGCAAAGAAUGCGAGAUCUACCUUGAGAUAAUGAGGUUAUAACCGAGGUGUGUCCAUUGUUUGUUGAAAAAUCUUUCCACACGCCCUUUUUAGGCCUUGGUUAAGCAUUGUGGCUUUGAGAAUUUAUGGAAGGGAGCUCUCUUCGGAGGAGACCCUACUAUAAGAAGAAAAGAGAAAUUCAUUGUGCAAAAAGGUAUUUAGACAACUUUUUUUAAUUAAUUAUUAAACCCACAUCAGCACAUAACAAAUUUUUUUACAGAAUUGUGGUGGAAUGAUCAUAUUCAUUUACAACACCUAUUUUCAUGGACUACAUUGAUUGAUUUUCAAUUUUAGGGACCAUAUUGAUGGUGUGGGUCAAUUUCAGGGGCCAUUUUGAUGAUGUAGGUCAAUUUUAGGGACCAUUUGUGAUAUAAACCUGUAAAUGUUGUGGGGCCUAUUUAGGUGCCACAUCAGUACUUAACGAAAUUUUUAAUAGAAUUGUGAUGGAAUGACUAAAUUGAUUUGCAAUACCUAUUUUCAAGGACUACAUUGAUUGAUUUCUAAUUUCAAGGACCAUCUUGAUGAUGAGAGUCAAUUUAAGGGACCAUUUGUGAUCAAAACCCAUAAAUUUAUUGGUUAUUUUAACUAAACUACCGUUGGAUGUUUUUAAAUCAAUCCACUGAAUUUGAAUUAAUUAUUGCAACUAAGAAGCUGGGCCCCAAAAAGGGCUAAGAGGGGGCUACAUUUGGUCAAUCUCAUGCCCUUUAGGCCAAAUAAUGGCCUAAUGGGCUCCAUAGAAUUAUAGCUCAGUAGUCAGUUGGAGAUGAAUUUUGAAUAAAUCAGGCCAAUUUUUUUGCUUUUAAACCUUUAGCCCUCUUCAUUGGAGAUGGCCUUAGUUGCAAAAUUCCUGCAUGCAUGUUACAGGCAUUUUAAAUAUCAUGAAUUAAUAGACCAUGUUAUUUACCAUAUAUGAUUGAGCAAAUACUCAAGGCUUGUGAGGAAUUUGUUAUUUUUUUCCGGUUACAUAUAUAGGCUUCAAAUUAUUCCCUUGAUCGUUAAGCUCUACCUCGCUUCAACUUUCAAGACCAUGUUUUGUGUCAUCUGUAGUUAAAUAAUGUUGCAUUAAGCAGGGUAAAAAUAAAAAAUAAAAAACCUGGAAUAUCAGAAAAAAUUGCUCGGGGAGUUCUUUGAGUUGUCUGCAUGCAGAAGAACACUUAACCGAAUUAGUCUGAACAGCCAUUAGAUGUCGAUAAGUAGGAGCCGCCGGUCAGUAGCAUGGCACACUACCACGACAACUAAUUGAAUUCCAAACAUAUAUAUGCAAAAAUAGUUUUAAUCAACUAUAGAGUUUCUCUUACAUAUAUAGAUUAUAUCAAACAGCCCAUCGCAUUAUUGGGAGUUCGAUACUUCUUCGGUGCUGACAGGCAUGGCAUAUUUUGUGGUUGCAUUAAUUUACUUCCUUUAGUUGGUGGGGUUGUUGAACCUAUUUCAGACAUCUUGAUCACUAAAAUCGACUAAAGUGUACACUAUUUCUCUACAAACAAAAACAAGGUCAAUUGAAGCUGGCUAAAGCUGAAAACUCGAGGAAAAUUAAAGGUGGGUGUGUUGAGAACUGGAGAAUGCUAAACCCUCUAUUUAUACUAGUUUGUUGUAGGCUUAUUUCCUUUCCCGAAAACAAAGUUCUAAAUAGGCUAGGAAAAAAUAUAAAAUCAAAAUCUUUCCAAACCAUAGUAGGAUAUAUGGCUAAAUCAUUACAGAGAAAGGCCCGACCAAAAUAUCCUACAGAGAAAGGGAGAAAAAAGAAAAAAAAAAAAAGCUUUUCCAACCAUAAUAUAGGUAUAGCUAUAAUCCCAGAUAGAAAGGGAGAACACAAAUAGUAAGAUAUGAGAACAAAUAUACAGUAUAUGAAUUCAAGGAGAAAAGGUAAGUUAGACGCCGUUUUAUGCUUUACUCUUUAGAUAUCGCAUUCCCUUUUUAUUCGCUUUUUCUUCCCUUCUCCGUUCUGGUUAAAGAGUGAACAUGAAGAAAUUAAUACUCAAAAGUUGAUCAAUUAUAUUCCAUAGACACGACUGAGAAAAUUGGAAUUGAACGUGUUGGGUUAAUCAGUGGAAGGUUUCUUAAUUGUCAAAAUGAUCAAUUUUUUGUUUACAUGGGAUGUAGAUUAAUAGUAUGUAAUGGGAAAAAGAUAUACACAUGUUUUCAAGAUUUCCGAAGUUUCCCUAUGGUAGCGUUUGGUACGAAGAUAGGAUGGAACAGGACCAACGGGAUGGAAUGGAACAAAAUAGAGGUUUCAUGCUACGUUUGGUACGCAUAUGAUGGAAUGGGACAAUCAUUCUAUUAUGUGUUUGGUACGCGUAGGAUGGAAUGGAACGAAGGACUAAAUGACAAACUCACCCAAGUUUCUUUGUUGACACCAUCGACUCAACCUCAUGGAUUACCUGCAAAACUUGGAUUUUCUACAACCAUAUAUAUGAAGGAUUUUCUGCACGACUUGGAUGAACUUCUCUCAAGAACAAUUUUUUUUACAACCCUAAAACUUGUUUGGUAUCUAACCUGGAAACUAUUUUAAAUCUUCAAAGAUUUAGGCUAUAUAACCCAAAAACUUGUUUGUACAAAACCAUUAGAUGGUAGUGGCUGAGGGAGGAUAUUAAGGUCAGGUCGGGAUCCGAGAAUCUUUACGACUUGAUUUGGAACUCUCAAUUUCACACUAAUACUAUGAAGUCGUGUUGUCUUCAGAUGGGUUUUGUUCACAUAUAUGGUGGUGGGUUGCUAAUUUCAAAUGUUGCCAUUGAAAUUGAGGAAGUUUGAAAUAAAGCUUUGGUAAUGGCGGAGAGGUGAUGUUAGGGCUUGUGGGUGAUUAGAGUGAGAGGACAGUGGGUCAGGGAUGGUGGAAGAAAAUAUCUCAUUUGCGAAAAGAUCCAUGUCACGGUCGUCAAAACAUCUCUCUCAGUCGCCGGAAACAUUAUUCUUGUCACCGCCACUUACUCUCAAUUGAUGUUUGGUGUCGUUGGCCUCGAUGCCAAGGUCCUGCAGAUAUUGUGAAGAAGAAAAAAAAAGGUGUAAUUAUUGAAAAAUAUAAGGGGCAUUGUUGUCUUAAAAUUUUAUAAUUUUGUGUUCCACGGGGUGGAACGAGUCAUUCCAGGAGGGGAGGUGAAACAUAAAUUUAACCAAAAUUCGUUUUGUAAGACAACGCGUCUCACUGUCUUUGGCUCACCAAACGUGGGACGAGCGCAUUCCGUCCCAUCUCACGUACCAAACGGUACCUAGGAUCAUAAUAGAAUUUUAAUUAAUUUAUAAAUAAUUCAUAUAUAAGAUUUGUUUGUCAAAGGUUGGUGACACGCCUCAACCUCGAUAUCCCCAAAUACUAGGAUAGGCAUGUAUUGGCCGACACCUGAGGGUGAUGAAGCCAUAUUAAACAUGCAUACAAAUAAAAUAGGUAAUUAGACAGAAAUAUGCCAAAGCAGAAACAUGUUUAGAGCAUACAACUAAUCAUGAAUAAUGUGAAAGAAUUACAAUAAAAGUGUAUGAAUAAAGGAAUGAGUUCUACUUUGAAAAGACUCGAAGAUACCUAAGCGGAAAUGCCCAGACGCUAGGAUUGUGUGCCUCAAUUCUAACUCCUGAAGGGGAUGCAAAACAAAAGAGUGAGUGGACCAAAAUUUAUAAUAAUAAUACUAGUAAUAAGAAAAUCAUUUUGUUUCUGAACAUACUAGCUCUUGUUUUGAGAAACAUUAUAUAAUACUACAGAAUAGGUUUUUUUUCCGAAAAAUCUAGCAUGCCAUGAAAAACAUUCAUAAAACACUUACAUAUAAGCCUGUACUCAGAUAUGGUAGUAUAGCUGCGCGAAGGUAAAUUCGUAAAACAUCUGUAAAUCACAUCAAUUAUGUACUCCACUAGGGGUAUCAUAGUCGCCCGAAGGCAUAACAUGUCCAUCACCCGAAGGUGAAGCUGUACGACACCCGAUUACGCCAGUGAAGGAACAUGGUAGGCCCUAUCACCCGAAGGUGAAGCUGUACGACUAUAGGUUACGCUAGAGAAGAAAAAUACCCAAAUAUACAUAACACAUCGACAGUAGCAGUGGCUAGUGAAGCUGUCCGGCACUGGUUUCGCCAGUGAAGUUGGGGGUAUGACAUAAAUAUCAACAAUUGUGUCCUAUGGCCAUAGACGUCUACAUACCCGUGUUGUGUGUAUAUAUUGUAUGAUAACCCACUACAUAAGUACCAAAACGUAUCUCAAAAACUCAUAACAAAUCUCCGGAGCUCAAGGGCUCAAAACAUCAAUUCAUAAACCAUGAUAAAUCAUAUUCAUAAAUUCAUAAUAUAAAUCAUAUUCGUAAUCUAGAGAAUUUCAAAUACAGAAAACCAAUAAUUCAUAACCUUUCGUAAAACAUAAAUUCGAUAAAUCAUAAAUAACGCAUAAAACGUAAGAUUAUGAAAUCAUGCUUUUCGUGAAUGCAUGCCUAAUAUUUUAUAAAACAUGCAAGUUAAGAAGGGGUCCACUCACAGAUAUUCAAUUCUAGGAAAGCCGGUCAAACUAGGGAUGAUAGAAUCACUUCCAAUUGAUGCACCUAAACACAAAUGGAGAUCGUUUAAUAAAACUCUACUAAAACGAUAGAAUUUGGGGAAACGAACAACGGAUUUGGAUUUGGCACGUCGAAAAACCUAAGAAGGGACAUCGGGUUCCCUAACGCGCCAUUGCACGCGCAUAGAUGGUCACUAGAAAGUUUGUCAAAAAAGUCAUUGAUGCCGCCAUGGACGACGGCGGAGCACAGUACCUUCGAUGGAGGCGCGUGUGCUUCAUGCGCCGGCCAUAGCAGCGUCCACGCAUGGCCUAUGAGCUGACCGUGGAAACUGUGUUUCAGGCUCAGGUCGAAUCUGGGCUUAGGUUACUCGGUUAGGCCGAGUUAUAGGGUUGGGCCUUAGUUAAUGGAUUGGAUUUUGGGUCGAGGAUUUGGACCAGAUUUCAUAUUGGAUUUGGGUCUGGUUUUGGGUUGUGGGUCGGGUUGACCCGAUUGGGCUCGGGGCUCACUGGACCCAACGAAGGAGAAUCAGAAUUCUAGGGAUUUUGGCCAAGAAACUUCCUCGGCUCUGAUUUGGGGUUAAAUCUUAACCAUUUCCCACGUUCUACUUACCCUAAGUCAGCAGUGGCCGGAGUUGGCCAGAAUUUGGCUUUCAAGCUAUCUGAUUUAUUGCCAAAAACUAGAGAUUCUAAGAACACAAGCAUGCAUGAAUAAUUAGUCCCAAACUCAACCCUAAUUCAUCAUGAGCAUCUCACGAACAUCGAAAAGAGAAAGGAUCGCAGGCAUCCCGAGUCUUACCUAGGUCGAAGUUGUUAAGAACCUUUAUUGUUCUUGCAUAGCGAUCACAAACUCGAGGGAGAGAAAUAGGGAGAGAAGAUGGUGGUGGUCUGGAGGGUUCAAGUGGUAUAAAGGCUUGCCAAAGAGGCGACGUGAUGUGGUGGUGGUGUUGUGUGUGUGUUGCUUGGAAAGAAUGAGAGAAUGAUAGAGAGAUGAGGGAGAGAUUUCAAGAGAGUUCGAGAGCAUCGGGGGAGAAAACAUGGGGAAGGAGGGAAAGUGGGGUGAACAUGGGGAAGGAGGGAAAGUGGGGUGUGGGCCCCACAGCUCACAAAAAGCAUACACAAGAAUAUCCCCAACAUAAAAUUACCAAAUUGCCCUUCACGUUCGUGAGUCCGUAAAAUCUCCAUCUUAGCACCAAUUUCAAUUUCCCUUAUGCCCAUGUAUUCGUAGUGACGAGUACUACAAGGACAUGCCAAGGAAAAGAACCUUACGUGAUACAACAAGGUAGUCAACAAAAGUCAACGUUUUGCCUUGAAGGGCAUUUUCGUAAUUUCACGCUUAUAAAACUGAAAUAUUUGGGGACAGGUCGUUACAGUGGGCACAGUCUGAUUUAAACAUGUUUCGCACCUAAACUAGUGACCCAACCAAUUAUUAAAUGAUGGAUCAUUUUUGUUCCAUUUUAAAUAAAUCUGGGUGAAAUUAAAUCAAACCAAACCAAAUAUUUGUGUCCAAGUCCAAUCCUUUUUUUCUUUUGCAAUUUUGUUGUUAGUACAUAGGCCAACAUGUACAUGUGAAGAAAAUACGAAUACAAUAAGAAAGGGAUGUUCGGUUGUGAUUUGUAUAGGAUCAAAAUCAUGGUUUUAUCGUUUGGUUCGAUUUUGAGACCGUUUGAAUUGUUGAUGAUCAAUACCGAACCAAAUUGCUCCUUACAAUUUGAACCGAUCAGUUUGAUCCUCACUCCUACAUACAUGUGCAAAAUAUAAAUAAACCAGAAACAGAAAUAAAAAAGAAGGAAUUUCGUCUUUAUUACUUUGUAUUAUGUAUAUUCUGUCAAAUAUAAUCAUUUAAAUUGGGAAAGCUAAUGAACCUUUUUUUUACAGCUUACACAACUUAUCCAAGGAAACAAUGCAGCAUCCUGUACUUAUUCACUGUCAAGAAGAUUAAAUAUAAAUUAAACGUUGUGGAAUAAAAAUCUAAUUAACUUUUGCAGGUUCUGUUGGAUUCGAACCGCCGGGUGGGGCAGGAGCCUUCAGCAGUACUUGCCUGAUAAUCAGAUCCUCAAUAGGGAAGUCCUGAUUAUGCAAAACAUCCUUCUUCACCGUCAUCAACUUGUCUUUCCCAUGAUACAACACUCUGCAGGCCUCAUUCGACUGCGUGUUCACAAGAAAAACCACUACCAUUGCCACCAAAAGUAUAUUUAAAAACUUCAUGUUGUUCCUUGUUUGUCAAACAAUGACUUUAUUAAUUUGCUCUUUUUUUCUUCUCUUUUCUUCUCAAGCUGUAUGCAAUGCAAAUAAAAGAUGGAAAUCGGAAGGAUUGAGUUGCAAUGAAUAAUAAGUGGGGGGAUAUUUUAUAGGGCUUGCUAGCUCUGCUAUUAUAUAUAUAUGAAAUAUUGUGGACUAACAGAACUGAUAUUAUACGACUUGAAAUUUUCAAUAACAUUUACCGAGCUAUAUUUAUAUGUUUUGACCAUUGACGGUCGUUUCAAAAUGUUAGAAAUUGAAUAGUAAACCGAGUGAGAAAUUUGGGAAUUGAUCAAAUUCAUUUGCUUCCUUGGCAAACUGAUGAGAACUGAGAACUAAAGGAUAUGGUGGGGAAGCGUUUACAAAGACCUUUGAAAGUUUGUAGUAUUGGGUGUGCUAACCUUUUACACGGCAUGAAUAUAAAAAAGUUGAAUUUUAUCGUGAUCGCUGAAGUCCCAUUUGACCUUAAAUUAAUGUCAUGCAUGAUAUAAAGAAUGACUAGAUUAGUUUCUAUUAUGAUUUGGUGUAAUAAACACUCUCACGAGGGAAUGCACAUACCAUACUUUUUUUCAAAUACCGUAUUUUCAUUAUACAAAUUUUAUAAUCUUAACGCUAAAAUUGUUGUGGUAGAUAAGAUGAUGUCUUGUACUUUUUAUUUAAUUGAUAACAUGCUUUGAUCGUGGUAGAACUUCAAACUUUUCAUCAUGUCCAGAAUAGUAACGGGCACAAUGUCCGUGGUAGAUUGCAAUCAACCACGGGCAUUCACCGUGAUAGAUGUGGGUUUUUCUUCUUGUAUAUAUAUGUGUAAUGCUAGAGAGAGCAAAUUACUAAGCCAAAUGGUGUGAAUGUGGAUGUGGAUGAUUAGAUUAUAACUUAAGCGUUGAUUAACGUGCUUAUUUCAUGUCGGUGACACAUCAUUUGUUUGCAACUAGAAGAAAAAAAGCUCAUCUAUAAUGGUUGAUGCCCAUGGUAGAUUGCAAUCCACCACGAACAAUGUGCCCGUUAGUAAUCUGGAUGUGAUAAAAAGUCAUAGUUUCAACUACAGGCUAUGCUCGUUGUCUAAUGUGAUGCAACCACGGAACCACGGAUUGUGCCCGUGGUAGAUUAAAAUCUAACACCACGUGCACUAUAGACGUUGUGGAUUCCAAAUUGACCAAAAACAAUGCCCGUUAUAAAACAAUUCCCAAAAAUUAAAAAAAAAAUUCAAUAAAAAUUAUAUAUAUAAAUAUUUAUAUACAAAUUGCAUAUUUACUACAAUAUAACGAUUACAUAAAAAAUCAUAGAUUAAAAUUUCAAUUAUUACAAGCUGUACACUAAAACUAAUAACAAACCAAUGAGUUAUACUAAGAAAUACCAAACCAUCCAAGAAGUAUCAAAUAGGCCAUAACAAGGACAUUGUCGCUUGAACACUUCAGAUUUCUUUGAAUACCUCCAAACAAAAGGGCCUUGAGAGUGAAAUACUGCCCCUAAUGCUUGACCCUUAACAAUUGUUGCCUCUCUCUAUCUACGUGGACAUAAGCAUAUGGAUCAAAAGAAAGAAAGUCAAAAGUUAACUAGCUUGUAGAGAUAUAUGAAUCUCCAAUAGUCCAAAUAAGAAGCCAAAAAUUAACCAGUAAAGAAUCGAACAGAUAUACAGACCUAACUCUAACAAGAGCAUGUAGUGCAAAAUUAGAAUUGCAUAUACAGUGAAUGAAGUAAAUACAGAGCUUAACUUACAAUCAUCAAUUCUCAGGUUUCUAGGUAUUCCUCUCAACUGCUCUGCCUCUAAAACUAGAAUUUCAUGUACAGUUUUUGCCUCUAAACCUUUCUAUUCAUGCAUCCCUCUAAAACUACAUAUAUUUAUGCAAACAUAUACUAUACAAGAUUAACCAAAUCAAUACCAUAAACAGAGACUUUUUUGUUUUUAAUAAACCAUAAACAUUAGUAACCAAACCAAUACUAUAAACUAAAUCAUUAAUUAGCCCAAAAAUUAAUAUGAAAUUCUUACCUUGUCUGCAAGUUCUUUGUACAAAUAGAAACUGGAAACUGCAAAGCAAAGAAACCACGGCUUAAGAAUGAAACAUCACUCAAAAUUUAUAUUAAAAAAAACUUAAAACAUAUAAAAAGUUAAAAACUACCUGUGGAGAAGAGGGCUAGCAUGUCUCAAAUCUAGAGUCUUGAAAUAUUAAUUUCAUUAGAUUACUAAUUCAAGACGGACUGACGAUAACGAUUGAUUUUUAUUUUCCAUAUUCAACACCAGAAUUUCAUAACUUUUUCUCCAAAGGCUGCCCACUAAUUAAAGUUUUCAAGUAAACAAUUGGUGAUAAAAUCAAACUCCACAAACUAAAAUUAUAAGCAUGAAUAAGCAUUGAGUUUGGUAUGAUUAAAGACCAAGAAGGGGAAAUUAGAAUCACAAUUUGGGAUGGAAUUCAAGAAACACAAUUCCAAAAAGAGUAUAAUCAGAAUCACACUUAAGGAGUUGGGAGUCAAAAUUGUCUAAAUAAUAUCAUUAAAUUCAGAUAACAACGAAAAAAAAAAAAAAACCAAGCACUCUGAUUGGAUUGCAGAAACAAGCAUGCAAUUAAAAAACUAGUGCAGCCCUCAGUCUCUCAGUUUUCAAACUCCUUAACCCCUUCAAUGCUCACCAUUCGAAACCCCAAAACACACAUUUUCAUAGAGAAAGCCAUAAAUCCAACUCCAUCUCUCUGGUUUUGAAACCCUAGCCCAAUCCCCGAUCCCUAAUCUUUCGAUUUUAAAACUUGAGAUCAAAAUCACCAAAAUGGAGAACUUGAAAUCAAAAUCGAAGAAGUAAUACCUUCAACGAAAUUUGGACAUAUGUAAAUCAAAAUCAAAUUUAAAUUCAAGUUCGAAAUCGAACUCAACUGGAAUCAGAUCGAAGCAAAAUCUAAUAAACAAUAGCAAUUUGAGAAAUCAAAAUUAAAGAAAUAUACCGAGCGCACACCUGAAGAAGUUAUAACAUAGAAAGAAAGAAUCACAAUUUCAUCAAUGGUGGAGAUUCGCCGCCCAGAAUUUAAUCGAUCUCAGAGAUCGAUUCCUAUUCCGCCACCGCCUCUGAAAUCCACCGAGAUAUACACCAGCGAGAUCUCGUGCUCUCUAGUUGGAGACGAAGACGAAGAUCCUAUAGAUUGGGAAUACCUGACAUGCCCAAAGAAAUAGAAAAAAAAAUUAGGGUUCGAAUAGUGUAUACGAACAAGGCAAAGAAAUGAGUAGUUUGGGGUCGGAGUAAUUGUCGACAUAAGAAUAGGGGGUGAGACCUAGUGGUUGGCAGUGUCUGAUAUGAAAACGGUAAAUAGGUUUCAUUGAGAUCUGAAAUUUGAGUGUGUAUUCUUAUACUGGUUGAUUAAAAAAAUGAAAAAUUAUAAUUAUAACGACAGUACUUACAGUUUGUGGUAGAUUUAAAAUGUCGCUGUUGUCAAAAUUUUUGUAACCACAGACAUGCCUCGUGAUAAUAUAUAGCCAAACCACAAUGGGCUUUAAACACAUGUUGCUUCAACACCUUCAGUCACUGAUCACUCUACGCCUGUUGUUAAACUAAUUUAUUUACCACGAACUUCAAACGUCUGUCAUUAAAUUGGACUUUUUAUAACGGACUUCUUAUGUCCAUGGACAAUCAGCCAUGGUAGAUAUGGUGCUGUGGCGUAUAAAUUUGGUCCCUAGCAUUAUCUAUAGUUAACUGCUAUUAACCAUCCCAACUAAUCACCUCAUAGGAUGGUGACACGUGGCAUACACAAAGUGAUCACAUUUGUCACUUAAUGUUAUAACCCAAAAAAAGACGUGCGUCACUUAAUACAUUCCAUAUAUAUAUAUUUGGGAGUUUUAACAAAAAGCCCACGGUACUGUUCAUUUUAAAGAAAAAUCACAUUUUUACACUAAAAAGUCAAACCUGAUACUAUUUACUUUACCCUUUAUUUUGUCCUUAUCGUUAAAACUCAAAGUUUUCAAGCAUUUUUCAUUAGUUUUCCUUUUGCAUGUAAAUUUUCUUGAUGAUUAUUAUUUUUUAAAUGAUGCAAAACGUUAAUAAGUUUAAAUCAAACUCAACGGGGAGGAGCGUAUGAAUUAACACCAAAACCAUGGAUCCAACUAACAGCUAGCGCGCGCCAACUGUUUGAUAUAUAUUUUGAAUUUGAUGCUCCACAGUCCACAGGCAUAUAGUUCAUGAUAUUGCAUGACAUUGUAAAACAAACAAAACGUUCAUAUGUUAUUGCAUGACUCACGUUAUUAAUGCAUACUAAUUUCAGAUAUCAUGUAAUGUUAGACACUGUCAUACACCAUGCACUUUUUGUGAACUGAAAUAUUUAGUUGAAAGGAUUGGUGUUGGCUUCAAAUUGUGAAUGGCACUGUUUAGUUGAAAGGGUUUUUUUCUCCGGCACGAGUUAUUUUAUCAGUGUAACAGUUACACCGUCACAUGGUAUUACCUAUCCAUUCAUGUUGUAAUGAGUGGAAUGCUAAAUAACACUAAGUGAUGGCGAAACCGUCUCACUUUAAAAUUAGACUAAAAAAGGUGCCUUAAUUUCAAACCAGAUAUGUAGAGCUUUCACUCUAACACAAACACACACAUUUGUGGUAUAAUACUUAUGUAUAUCUCUAUGCAAAACACUGUCAGAGGUGUUUGUAGACCAGGUAAUAUAUUUUCGCAAUUUUAUAGUUUAAUUUCUGGUCAACAAAAUGGUGUUUGAUUUUAAACUCACUGUUAAAUUAAAAGGUAACAAACCCAUGCUAGAGCUACAGAUGCACACAGGCACAAAAAGAAAUUAAUAAAUAUAUAUAAUUUUCUCUGUACUUCGUAUUAUUCAGUCAAUUUCAUACACAUUAGGAACCUAAUACACUUUUUUUUUUACAUUCUUACACAUCUUAUAUAAGAAAAAAAAAAAAAAAAACCCUAAACUGCAGGCAUUUUCCUGUACUUAUUCACUGCUAAGAAAAUAUAUCAAAUGUUUAAAAGGGGUUAAAAAUUAAUUCUGCUAGUGCUUUUCGUUGAUGGUUGCAGAGUCUUUGGAAUUGGUACUACUUCAAGGUUUAGUUGGAUUAGGACCUCCGGGAGGGACAGUGCCCCUAAGUAUUUGCCUGAUCAAAGGGAAGAAGGGACGAUCCAUCUGAUGCAAAACAUCAUUCUUCAUCUGAUGCAUAAACUUUUCUUCUCCAUGCAACACUCUGCAGGCUUCGGACGAUUGCAUGUUCAUAAGAAAAACCACAAAAAACACUGCCACCAAAAACAUUUUUAGAAACUUCAUUUUGUUGGGCAGACAAAGAUUAUUUUGCUUCUUUAUUCUGUGGAAGAAGAAGGAAUGAAUGAAUGAAGAUAAAGAUAAAGGUUUGUUGGAAACUAGAUUUUGCUUCUUUUGUCUGUCUGAAAAAUAGAAAGGAUUGAAGUAAUGAAUGAAUUGAAGGAAUGAAUAGAUGGGGAAUACGGGGGCCUCUUUUAUAGGCAUCAAUUAAGACCAACUUUCAUUUGACUUUGAUUUUUAUAAAUCUAUUUGUUUGUUUUGACUUGGAAUUGAAUGGGUCGUCAUACCCGCAAGGGCUUUGGUUUUAACUUUUGAAUUGAAUGGGUCGUCAUACCCGCAAGGGCUUUAGUUUUAACUUUGAAUUGAAUGGGUCGUCAUACCCGCAAGGGCUUUGGUUUUAUGGCUUCACCAUAUUGUGGGCCUAUAACAAAUCAAGGCUAAUUAAUAAAACACAAUCGUUCUUUUUACUCUUAAGUUGAGCUAUAGCCUGUUUGUUUUUUUUUUUUUUGGAAACGAGCUAUAGCUUUGUUUACUUAAUUAAUCUAGACAGUAAAACCUCUAUAUAGUCAUCAUGUUAGAACCAAGAGAAUUUUAUAACUUUAGGGACGUUAUUACUUAAUAGAGGUGUAGCUAAAAAAUAUUAUUAGUGGAGUACGUCAAUUUCUAAGAUGUAACAUUGAAAAAAGAAAGACACUCAAUCUUUAAAAUCUAGUGCAUGUUGUAUGUAGUACUCUCUUUAAGUUUAAUGCUUAUCGGAAACAUGCUUGAGAAGCUAGAAACAGUCCAUUUGACGAGAUAUUACGUACUUGCAAGCUCAAAAGCAUGAUAUAAACUUUAAAAAAAUAAUACAUUGUCUCAAACAAUUAUAGAGAAAUAUUUUAGUUCAUCUUAAACUUGUAUUUGUAGCGUUGCAUAUUUUUGUACUUAUUAAUAAUUAUUACUACAUGGGGGUGAGGUCUUAAUACGUGACCUAUAAAAAUCAUCUUAUUAUAAUGCGGAGUUUAUUCUUUACAUAUAUAACUGAGUGCAAGUUGGGACCAUAAAUUUUUAUCACAAUUAAGGAGGUUAUUCCUAUAUAGAGUAUUAUGAUAAAGAAGUUUUACUGUAUAUUUUGUAAUUAAGUUGUCCUGGUUCAAUUUUUUUUUAUUAACAUUACUAAUGGUAUAGAGGUAUUUUGACCAACUCUUGUCGAGUUUUUUCACUAUUUUCUUGAAUCGCAAUUUUGAACAGAAAUUGGAGUUUUUGCAUGCAAGUAAAAGCGUGUAUAAGGCCUUUGAAGUUUGAACGUUGACUAUUUUAAUUGAAGUUUUAGUUGUCAGCUACGGUGUUGGUGUGUGCUAACCACAUAUAUGUUAACGUAUACUGAAAUCCGAAUCUGUAGUGAAUACUCAAACAAGAAAAGGAGAAGAAAGAAGAGUUCUAGAGAGAGACUGAAUGUUUAGAGAGAGAAACUUAUGUAUUGAUCUGACUUGAAGAUUACAGUAAUUCCAUUACAUCUUAUAUAGUUUGCACUACUUACAUCAGUAACUAUAUCAGUUAGUUAUAACACCUUUAACCAACAUAACCACCAAUAGUCUAUUAGCUAAGCUGAUGUGGCAUUGCCAGCUGUUAUUACUGUCAACAUCCCCCCUCAAUCUAAGCUUGGGGUGACAAGCUUCAGAUUGUAACAAUGUCUGAUGAAUGCAGGACUGUGAAGACCCUUUGUUAGAACAUCGGUAGUUUGCUCGUCAGUAGGAACAUAGGCCACUGCAAGAUCUCCUUUUUAUACCUUCUCCCUUACAAAAUGAUAAUCGGUAUCCAAAUGUUUUAUUCUUGAGUGAAACACUGGAUUCGAACUUAAUGCAAUAGCUGACAUGGUAUCACAAUUAAUAACAGGUGGUUGAAGUAAAACACACUUCAAAUCUAUCAAAAUUUGUCUAACCCAAGCUAUAUCAGCAGCUGUAUGAGCAAGGGCUUUGUAUUCAGCUUUUGUAGAACUUCUAGAUAAUGAAGUUUGUUUAUUUAAUUGCCACGAAAUAGGAUUUUCUCCAAGAAAAACAAUAUAUCCAAUCACUGAUCUUAUGGUAUUAAGAUCCGCAGCCCAAUCAGAAUCAGAGAAAGCCGUGAGAUGCAUCUGUGAUUGUGAAGAAUAGACUAUACCAUGUUGCAUCGUACCAUGAAGGUAUCUAAGAAUCCUUUUUACAGCACCAAAAUGAACCUCAGUUAGUGAAUGCAUGUGUUGACAUACUGUAUUCACAGCAAACACAAUAUCCCGUCUAGUAAACGUAUGAUACUGCAAGGAACCAACAAUGCUUCUGUAUGAACAAGGAUCUGAAAGUAACACUCCUUCUGUCACCAUCAUUUGAUUAUGUGGUCUAUAUGGUGUAUUGGCAGGCUUGCAAGAAUCCAUACAUGCCUUAUGAAGUAAAUCCUUUAUGUAUUUCGACUGAUUUACAAAAAUGUCUCCAUUUGGUUUAUAUUGAAUCUAUAAAACAAGGAAAUAUGUCAGCUUCCCCAAAUCUUUCAAGUCAAACACAAAAGAGAGCUCUUGAACUAUGAGUUGUACUUUAGUCACACAUGAUCUAGUCAAUAUUAUAUCAUCAACAUAGAGCAAUAAUAUGAUGAUAUCAUUGUUAUCAGUUUUGAUAAACAAACUAGUAUCAGAUACUGAUGUAGUAAACCCCAUUAUCACCAAGUAGCUUGUAAAUUUUGAAUUCCAAGCCCUUGGGGCUUGUUUGAGUCCAUAUAGUGACUUGAGGAGUUUGCAUGCAUAAUUGGGAUGACUUGAAUCAACAAACCCUUGUGGCUGUUUCACAUAAACUUCUUCUUGUAGCUCACCAUGCAGAAAUGCAUUCUUGACAUCAAGUUGUUUCAAUUCCCAUUUAUUCAUUGCAGCCAAAGCAAGAAUGAGUCUUACAGUUGUAUGUCUCACAACUGGACCAAAAGUAUCUGAAUAAUCUACACCAUGCUCUUGAGAAAACCCUUGAGCAACUAGUCUUGCUUUAUACCUUGAUACAGUACCAUCAGGAUUUCUUUUCACCUUAUACACCCAUUUGCUUCCUAUUAUUAAUCUAUGAUCUGGUGCAGGUACUAAAUUCCAAGUACCUUGAAUUCGAAGUGAAUCAUACUCCUCUUGCAUUGCUUGUUACCAAUGUGAAAUAGAUGUUGCUUGUCUAAAACAUGUAGGUUCUAAUGAAUCUGCAAUCUCUGAAAUAAAAGAGAAACCUCCCACAAAAGGAUCAUCAUUUGUUAUCUACAAGGUGUUUAACUCUGGGAACGUUGCAAUUAAGGCUGUAUAAUUUUUCUUUUGGAUGGCACCAAACUUCAACCUUGUCACCAUUGAAUGUUCAUUACCAUUUUGUGCUUGAAUAUCAUGUGGUACAAUUGCUUGAGAAAUUGGUAAAAUUACCUCCAGUUGUGAAGAAUCGUGAACUGGUAACAUAGAUAACCUUGAAUCUGUAGGACUUGAGUAAUGAUGGUGAGGAGAUGAAACCUAAGUAUCAGAAUGCUGACUUACUGCAGACUCUGAAGGUUGAGACAUUGCCAUAUCAGAAUUUCCUGAAGCUACUGGAUCUGAGCCUUGAGAAUGUGAAAGGACUUCUAUAGCUUGUGCAGAUCCUCUAUCUUGGUGCACUGAAGAUGGAGUAAUCGUAUCCCUUGGUAAUUGAAUCGUAAUAGGCCUUGAAUGUUGGAAAGAUGAAGAACUAGACUGUUGUACCUUUGACACGUGUAUAUUCCAAUAAGGAAAUAUCUCUUCAUCAUGUACAACAUGUCUAGGAAGGAUUAAUUUCCCUGAACCAAUGUUAUAACAUAUUACUCCCUUAUAUCCCAUCAUAUAUCCCAAAAAUACACAUUGAGUUGUUCUUGGUUCAAGUUUAUUUGCAUUAUAAUGCCUCAUGAAUGGAUACACUGUAGGCCCAAAAAUCUUCAAAUUUUGAACAUCAGGUUCUUGUCCAAUUAACACCUGAUAUGGUGAUUUCAUAUGCAAUAUUCUACAUGGCAUUCUGUUUAUUAGAAAUGCAGCAUGUGAACAUUCAUGAAACCAAAACUGAGCUGGUAACUUUGCUUCUUUCAUGAGUGUUACUGCAGUCUCAACCACUUGUCUGUGUUUCCUCUUAGCAAGUCCAUUUUGCUGAGGGGUAUAAGGACAUGAAAUCAUGUGUUUUAUACCCUUUGUAUCCAAAAAAUCAACAAACAUUCUACUUGUAUACUCUCCCCCUCCAUCAGAUUGUAAACACUUAAGUGAAGCACUGAAUUGAGUUUGUAUAAAAGCACAAAACUUAACAAAUAUGGAAACACUUCAGACUUGUUAUUCAUUAGAAAAAUCCACAAAAAUCUUGAAUAUUCAUCUACAAAGCUCACAUAGUAUCUAUAACCCUAUACAGACACCUUUGGAGAUGGCCCUCAUACCUCAGUGUGAACUUUCUCAAACAAAACAUGUAGUAAUAUUUUGUCUUACUGGAAACGACUGUCUUCUCAUUUUACCACUCAUACAAGAAGAACAUAUGGACUCACAACUAUCUACUUUGACACUAUUAUUAAACUUCUUCAGCAUUGCAGCAAGCACCUCUUCUGACGGAUGACCUAACCGCUUAUGCCACCUCGACACUUGAAUCUUCUUUCCAAUAAAGCCAGCAUAACGCUCAACUUUGCAGCAAAAGACUUUGCAAAGACAUUGACUGAAAUUGAAAACAGCUCCCCAUCAUCACUUGUCCCUGUGUACAGUAUCUUCCUUGUUGCCUUGUCCUGUAUGAAGAAGACAAUAUCAUCACAUAUAAACCAACAUCCAUUAUCUCUGCAUAACUUCUUAACAGAAAGUAAAUUCACAGUGAUUUUAGGUACACAAAGCACAUUUUUUAACAUAAAAAACUGUUUAGAAAUAGGGAUGCUUGUGGAACCAAUAUGUGUUACUUCUAAUCCUGUACCAUUCCCAAUUGUAAUGGUUCCAUCACCAAUAUAAGGAAUAACAUGAUUAAGAUGAUUUAAAUUUGCAGUCAUGUGAUGAGUUGCACCUGAAUCCAAUAUCCAGUUUUCUUCAGCUGUAAAACCAACACUAGAUCCUUCAGUUUGAGUUACAUUGGCUUGAGCUAUCAUAGCUGCAAUCGAUGGUGGUGGUGGAGGAUUUCCCUGAUAUGCAAAGUUGUUUCUGUGAAAGCAUUCAAGAGCUAUAUGCCCCAUUUUUCCACAUAUCUGACAAAUUACAGAACUAGAAUAAUGUGAACCUCCACUCUCAGCUCUAUAGUAGCAGUGUGGUGCAGUGUGUCCCCUUCUCAAACAUAUUUGGCAUUCAGGUGAUACUGAGUACUUAAAGUUGGUAUUCCCAUUCCAAUUGGACUUAUAAUUGCCAUGGCCAGCAGAUGAAUUAGUUGAGGUGAAACCAUUACUUGCAGAUUCAUAUCAUGCAACACUCUUACCACUUCCAGAGUAACCAUUAUUCCCAUUUUUGUUAUUAGAUCCGGAUGAAAACCUGGAAUUGUGAUUCCCACCUCCAAAUUUUCUAUUAUUAAAAUUUCCUCUCUGUGGAGACUGAAAACCUCUACUACCAUUACCAUUUCCAAUUCCUGAAAAACCAUUUCCUCCUUGAAAAUUGCUACCAAACUGAUCAUUAAAACCAUUUCCUCUCUGAAAGUUGUUACCGAAUUGAUCAUUACUGAGACUAACCUGAGACCUCUGAGAAUUGGAACUCUCACCAUGUUCAUACCCUUGAAAGCCUUUUAAACCUAAUCCUUCACCUUGAACAACCAUGGCAGACAUAGAACUAGAUAAAGAAUGCAUUCUAGAUUCAAUACUGCCUUCUGCUACAAGCAAUUGUGCUCGAAAAUCUUUGAUAGACAUAGGAGAAUCUCUUGCCAAUAUGACUGUCUUAAUCAUCUCAAAGUUAGCAGGCAAACCAGAAAGAACAGCAAUGAUGAAAUCAUUAUCAGUAACCUUUUCUCCUGCAGAUACCAAUUGAUCCCUUAUCCUUUUUAGUCUCAUUAAGAAUUUAUCAACCGAAUCACCACCUUUCUGAGCAGUAUGCAAUUCAGUUUUAAGUUGAUUCACACGAACCAUUGAGACAAAGGCAAAUCUUUCUUGCAAACAUUUCCAAGCUUCAUAAGAUGUUUUACAUCCAAUCACAUGUUUCAUAGCAUCAUCCGAAAGAGUUGCAAUUAGCAAACUUAACAAAGCUAGAUCAUUUUUUUCACCCAAUCUUUGUAAGCAGCAUUAAUUUCAUUUGUGACCCCAGAUUUUGUAUCAAUCACAUACUUAGGUGGACAUGGUGCUUCUCCAGUGAAGAAAUCAAACAAAUCAUACCCCCUCAACACAGAUGAAAAUUGAUAACUCCAUUUCACAAAAUUAUCAUCUUGCAACUUUACUGUCAACAUCCCUAACAUAUUCACAAUUCUAACAUUAGAUUCAGCCAUCUUCACACACUAAAGAUUAUCAAAAGUACAACCCAAGAUUUCAAACAACAAGUUGUAUAACCACAGAAAUCAAGAAAUACACCUUUCUUAGGCAAUCAGCCUUUAAUGAAGAAAGAGAACAGAAUUGCACAAGAACUACACUCUGGUAAUCGGCCUUAAUGGAGUUGCACCCAAUAACAACAAACAACAAACUUCGCAAGAAAGUUACUCCGGCUAUCGGCCUUAUGGAGGAAACUAACAGUUUACACCGAGAUAAUGGCUUCGGCCUUAUAUCUCAAAUCAAGAUUGCAGAAAGAUGGCAUCAGCCUUGUUUACUUUCGCACAAAAUUCAACAAACCCAGAAGAAAUAACCUUGAGACAUUUUCACAAACAGAUAGAGUGCAGAAAACAUACUGUACUUUCAAGAAACACCAAGCCUCCGACUGAACGCACAACACUGAUUAAGCCUCACGAAUUCGAGACUGUCACCAAGAAAGAUCUCCGGCAACAACCACCAUGAGCAGAAGAUGAUAGCCACCAAGGAACGUACACGGCGAUGAUACCAUGUUAACGUAUACUGAAAUCCGAAUAUGUAGUGAAUACUCGAACAAGAAAAUGAGAAGAAAGAAGAGUUCUAGAGAGAGAAACUUAUGUAUUGAUCUGACUUGAAGAUUACAGUAAUUCCAUUACAUCUUAUAUAGUUUGCACUACUUACAUCAGUAAGUAUAUCAGUUAGUUAUAACAGCUCUAACCAACAUAACCACCAAUAGUCUAUUAGCUAAGCUGAUGUGGCAUUGCUAGCUGUUAUUAUUGUCAACAAUAUAUACAUUACACACACAGAAAUUGAAUCAUAUUGUGAGACUCAAGUCUUAUUUGACGUGAAAUGUUUCCGAGCUAUGUUUAUUUAAUUAAUUAAGACAUCUCUAAAACUAAUUAAGACUUCUCUAAUCAGUGACGGAUUCAGGAUUUUAAACUCGAGGGGUCUCAUUAAUAAAGGUCAAAAAAUUUAUAGACAAAAUUAACAUUGAAAAGUUAAAUAUAAUAUAUUUCAUUCAAAAAUCAUACGCAAAACAAUAUUACAAGCUAUAAAAUCCUAAUUCAAGCGUCCCCAACAGGGUUUUAUAGUCUAAAAUAUUCUAUGAUAGCUUCAUUACCAAUACAUGAAAAACAUCUUUCUCAAUGUAAACAACUAAGCUGUCACUCAACCAUCUUUCUCAAUGAACAAAUAGAUGGUGCUAUUGGUUUUGGCUUGAAAAAUCUCUUCAUAUUUUUUAUUUCUAAACUACACAUUUAACAAAAAAAAAAAAAAACACAAACCAUAUACCAAUUAACAAACAUAUCAAAUGAGUAUACAAACAUAUCAACAAACAUAUCAACAAUCAUAUCAACAAUCAUAUCAACAAUCAUAUCAAUAAUAGACUAAACGUCUCGAUCAAUAUCUAAUAUAAUUUAAUUAAGAUUAGAUCAUAAUACUAAACAAUUUACUUGACUUUUGAACCAAAUGGUGGUGGCCUGGAUAUUUGAAACAAGUGAAUGUAUGAUUUUGGAGUAAUAAAAUUAUAAUAUGGGAUUGGAUGGAAUUUAGAAUUUUAGGGUUUUGAAAUCUGGGGAGCUGGGGAUUGGAAUUUGGGUGAAUAUGUUAAAGUUGGGCAUUGGGGGAAGCAUAUGAGCGGGGAAUGGUGGGACUGUGGGGAUAGGUGUGGGUUGGGAUUUAAAACAAUAUGGACAAACGACAUACCUUGUUUUAGGCCAAUUGUUAAAAAGGGUCAUAUAUUCUUUCUUCUCCUCGAGCGAUUGUCUUCUCCGAAAAGAAGACGCCACUGCAACUUGCAACCUGCACAUCAUAGACCUCGUGUUCGAGUACGAAACGUCCCCGAAAAAUUUCUAGCAGCGAUUUAGGGUCGUCGAGGGGUCCUAGGACCUUCUAGGUCCCUCUGUAGAUCCGUUACUGUCUCUAAUUCACUAGCCAAAGCUUAGUAUUGUCUUUUCUCUUAGUUUUAUUAUAGAACAAAAUUGAAUAAGAAUAAGUCAUGAUGUCCAGAACGGCUAUCUCUAUUAUAAAAAAAUUAUCGUCAGUGAAAUUUGAACUCAUAAUACCACAUACUUAUUCUUCAGUUAUAGCACGAAAAAAAAUAAAAGAUCUCAGUCCUCGAAAUGAGGGAUUAGGGUUUUGGAAAGUCAAUGCAUCGUUUCGUCUUCUAGGGUUUGGGUUUGCACAGAAGACGAUUGCACGGGGUAGAAAGCAAGUGUGAGUAGGGUUUUGGGUUUGGCUUCUGCGUGCAUUGGCUGGCUUUAGGACUUCUAAUGUUUAACGGUGUCUCGGAAAAUAUGGGUGAACCAGACUUGAUUGGUAACAUGGAGGAACUAGGGAUUAAGUUAGGGUCCAAUCUAAAGCUGUCAGAGAAUGAGCGGAAGGGGAUUGGAAGGAAGGAUUUUGAAGAGGCUCUGAUUGGUUUUCAUUUUUGUGCUGUCGCUGAGGUUCUCACAAAAAAUGAGGUGCAUAAGGAUGCGUUUAUUGAUAGAUUUACCUCCCUAUGGAGAGAUAAGAGCGGGGUCUCAAUCAAGGAUGCCCAGUUUGAAACUGAACAAGACAUGGUUUGUGUGAUAGAUGCUGACCAACCAUGGACGUUCAAGAAAGACCUAGUAUUGGAAGUAGGGUUCAAUGUUGGAAGAAUAAUGCAAGAAGGGUCCGUAGGGUUCAAAGGGUCCGUAGGGUUCAAUGAUAAUGCAACCAUUUGUUUAAGUUCUUUGAUAGAUAACAGCUCAUCCUAGUGCUAUGUUAGCUGGUUGUUAUUCCACCAUCUUUGUAAAGCUAAUUAGUAGUUUAAGUUAGAGAGAGUGGAGGACACAAUGAUGCUUUGUUUAGCUGCCAGGAAGGUCACAAUGAUGCUGCCAUUGCUGCCAUUAUUCUCCUCCUUUCCAGCUCCACUCUCCUGCCCGUUUUCUUUUCAUAUAUAUGUUGUCCUUGUAGCUGGUUCUUUAUUAUGAAAUAUACAUUAAAAUCAAUACCUAGUCAUGGUGGCGGAUAUGACUCAGAUAGGUAAGAAUCGAUGAAAGCCUCUCACUCUUGGUUCUUUUUUGGUGUAACUUUAUAACAUUCAUCCUCUAAGUGUGACCAGGGUGCUCGCACAAGCCAUUGGAGGAUUGUUGGGUACGAUUCUGAGAGUGGACAAAAAUGUGAGUAAGGAGUGCAUUGGCAGAUUUCUAAGGGUCAAAGUCCAUUUUAACGUUAAGGAACCACUGAUGCGAUGAACGUUCGUACAAUUUCCCUAUGAGGGGAUGAUCUAGUUGGACUUUAAAUAUGAGUGUCUUCGAAACUACUGCCUAAUUUAUGGUCUCCUAGGGCACCUAUCUAGGGUUUGCAAAGAUCACAUGGAAGGGGCUGGCGUAGGGGUAGGCAACAGGAUGAAUGGGGAAGACAACUAUACUUUUAAGGAUCUUGAUACGGUGACCAACUUGCAAGGCAACCUGAUUCGUCUUGUUAAUCAUAAAGCUUUGAGGUCGGGGGAAAGUAGAGGUAAGAGGAGCGUAAUAAUGCAACAAAAAAGCGGGGAGACUGGAAGUAUUAAAAUUGGGAGCGAGGGGGAGAUUUCAAGUAUGACACUACUACAAUAUUAGCUUUAGGUGGCGGAUGAUGGUGGCGGAUAUUAAAAAAUCCUGUCGGAUAAAUUAUAUCCGACACAUCAUUUAAUUACUGGCGGAUAUUAGAAAAAUACUGUCGGUUCUAUCCGACAUAAAUUUCUGGCGGAUAUUUACUGGCGGAUAUUUACUGGCGGAAUUUUUGAAUCUUUUUUUUUUAAUAUUUUUUACAUAUCCUGGCGGUUUUUACCUUAAUAGUGGCGGUUAUAACCGACAGAAAUUGAUUAUUUUAUUAUUUUACUUUAUGGCGGUUAUUAUUUUAGUAUUCUGACGGUUAUAACCGACAUAGAUGAAAAUUUUAUUAUUUUAAAAUGUUAUAUUGAUUAAAAAUAAAUAAACACAUGUUUUAAAUAUUAUAUUUUUUGCGAUUUUUUACACAUGCUAUCUCAUAGUAUAUACGAACAUAUUUGACGAAUGCAUAUCCUAUCAAAUUGAUAGAUUUAACAAACAUUUAAGAGUUAAUGUUAUGCUUCCAUUAUUUAUAAAAUAAGAUUUAUCCACUAGUGUGAAUAUUUUAAAUUGAAGAUUGAAUUCAUUCAUUGCAUUCUUAAAGGAUCAAGGAGUGUAGCUGCAAAAAAUCAUCAAAAUCGGAGCUAAAAUAACCGUUAAAUUGUGAUAUUUCCUUUAUAACUGUUGAAAACUUUUGUUUUGUUACCUAAUCUCUGAACGUUUGCUUUUUGUGAUUUUUUACGUAUGUGAUCUUGGAGUGUUUACAAACAAGUUUGAUGGAUAGAUCAUUGAAAAAAGUUUCGUAGAAUGUGUAUUGCGUCAAAAUGGUAGAUUAAACAAACACUUAGAGUUAAUGUUAUACUUCCAUUAAGUAUAAAAUAAGAUUUAUCCACUAGUGUAAAUAUUUUAAAUUGAAGAUCGAAUUCGUUCAAUGCAUUCUUAUAGGGUCGAGGAGUGUGGCUGUAAAAAAUCAUCAAAAUCGGAGCUAAAGUAACCGUUAAAUUGUGAUUUUUCGUUUAUAACCGUUGAAAACUUUUGUUUUGUUACCUAAUCUCUUAAUGUUUGUUUUUUGUGAUUUUUUACGUAUGCGAUCUCGGAGUGUGUACAAACAAGUUUGAUGGUUGGAUCGUUGAAAAACGCUUCGUAGAAUGCGUAUCGCAUCAAAACGGUAGAUUAAACAAACACUUAGAGUUAAUGUUAUACUUCCAUUAAGUAUAAAAUAAGAUUUAUCCACUAGUGUAAAUAUUUUAAAUUGAAGAUCGAAUUUGUUCAAUGCAUUCUUAUAGGGUCGAGGAGUGUUGCUGUAAAAAAUCAUCAAAAUCGGAGCUAAAGUAACCGUUAAAUUGUGAUUUUUCGUUUAUAACUGUUGAAAACUUUUCUUUUGUUACCUAAUCUCUUAAUGUUUGUUUUUUGUGAUUUUUUUACAUAUACGAUCUCGGAGUGUGUACAAACAAGUUUGACGGUUGGAUCGUUGAAAAACGCUUCGUAGAAUGCGUAUCGCAUCAAAACGGUAGAUUAAACAAACAUUUAGAGUUAAUGUUAUACUUCCAUUAAGUAUAAAAUAAGAUUUAUCCACUAGUGUAAAUAUUUUAAAUUGAAGAUCGAAUUCGUUCAAUGCAUUCUUAUAGGGUCGAGGAGUGUAGCUGUAAAAAAUCAUCAAAAUCGGAGCUAAAGUAACCGUUAAAUUGUGAUUUUUCGUUUAUAACCGUUGAAAACUUUUGUUUUGUUACCUAAUCUCUUAAUGUUUUUGUGAACACGGAAAAUUCCUGAAACGAAAGAGACAAGAACAACGUGCACAAACAAAUAUUUGUAUUUGAUGAUUUUGGGUUACAAUCUCUCUCUAAUUUGAUCAUCUGAUUCGAUCUCCGUAAGGUGUUGAUUUGUGGGUGUUUCGUUGAUCCAAGGGCCGUCGAGGCUUGAUCUUGGAUGAACAGUUGGAAGUUUCUUCAAAGGGCCGUGGGCUUGAUCUUUGAAGGUGGAUUUGAGCGGAUCUUCAAGGAGCCGUUGGAGCUUGAUCUUGAGGAUGAAUGUUUCUUCAAGGGCCAUUUGAGGCUUGAUCUUGAAUAACGGUGAUGAGCGGAUCUUCAAGGGCUUUUGGGCUUGAUCUUGAAGAACGGUUGGAUGUGUGGAUUUGUCGACGUUUGUUGAUCCAAAGGACCGUUGGGGCUUGAUCUUGGAUGAACGGAUGAUGAAUGAUGGUGCUUUCUUCAAGGGCCGUCGGGGCUUGAUCUUGAAAGAGCGAUGAACGAAGAACGGAGAACGAAGAACACUUUCUUCAAGGGUCGUCGGGGCUUGAUCUUGAAUUGGUGGAUGAUUGUUGAUCCAAAGGGCCGUUGGGGCUUGAUCUUGGAAGAACGAUGAACGAAGAACGAAGAACACUUUCUUGAUUCUUCGGGAACCUGGAUGCUUGAGAGCUUCAGAGCUUCAAGGUAUAAUAUGAAUUGGUUGAUCAAAUGAAUGAAAUGGGCUUGUAUUUAUAGAAUUUUCCAAGGCCUAAUUUUGAAUAUAAUAUCCCAGAUGAAAUAAGUCGUUUCUGUCAGGUGUUGACACGUUUCCUAUUUGAUGACUUUUCCAACUCAUUUCAAUUUUCGUUGAGUCACACGCUACGUGUAAAAUUUAUGUAAUACAUGAGCGUUGACACUUUGAUUUAUUGGUCAACAUUUAUUUACCGAAAUUUCGAUGUCUACAAAUGCCCCCACUUCAAGUCGCGUCGUGUACAUGUGCUUGUCUCGUGUAGAAGAUGCGUUUUGAAGUCCCUUACUGUAGACGUCGAUCCAAGGGCCGUCGAGGCUUGAUCUUGAAUUAGGCUGGAGAUUUCUUCAAGGGCCGUUGAGGCUUGAUCUUGAAUUGGGCUUGAGAUUUCUUCUAGGGCCGUUGAGGCUUGUUUUUGAACUUUUGUUUGAAAUUUCUUCAAGGGCCGUUGAGGCUUGAUCUCGAAGGUUGAAAUUGGACCACAAGGAGCUUCAUGUGGUAGAUGAUCUUUGGCUUUGGUAGUGGGUGAAUCGGCACGUAUUUUGUUGCGCUUGUUGACUUUCCACAGCUUUGAUCUUGAACUGGGUUGGAGGAUUUUCCUCCAAUUGUUGAUUUUCCACAGCUUAUUCUUGAACUAGGUUUUGAUUCAAGGGUGGUAGACACUUAAUCUUGAAUCGGACUUGUGAUUUCCUCAAGGGCCGUCGAGGCUUGAUCUUGAAUUUGGCUGGAAACUUCUUCAAGGGCCGUUGAGGCUUGAUUCUUGAAGGUUGACUCGAACAUAUGGCAAGCAGGCACGAGGUGAAGGUGACGACCUAUUUCUUUGUUCAAUCUUUCUAAUUCACACAUAAGCAGUUUGGUCAACGGUAUGAUCUUCAAGAUUGAUGAACUCUUCUUCUAGUUGGUGACUUGAUCUUUAAGGAUUUGAUUCAAGGGUGGUGAAUCGGCACGUGCAGCCCACAACGCCUAGUAAGUCGACCCAAGAAUUUGAGGGUCAAAUCGAGUUCUUCAUCUCAGACUCUUUCUGCCGAGUUGACUGUGCAUGCUGCAUUCUUCUCUGCUUGUUUCUUCAGGCAGAUGUGGCAGCUUCUCGAGUUCUUCAGCUCGGACUCCUUCUGCUGAGUUGACUGUGCAGACUGCAUUCUUCUCUGUUUGUUUCUUCAGGCAGAUGUGGCAGCUUCUCGAGUUCUUCAGCUCGGACUCCUUCUGCUGAGUUGACUGUGCAGACCGCAUUCUUCUCUGCUUGUUCCUUCUGCACCUUGUCUCCACAUGCUGCAAGGUAUCAUUUUCACUUGCCUUAUUUGUUCUCCAGGCAGAUGUGGCAGCUUCUUUGAAAGUACAGCAGCAGUGGAAGACGAGUACUCGAGAGCAGUGCUAGGUAGGCAAUCAGGGAAGGGUUCCAAGCAGUCGGUUCCUUACCCGAGUUUGAGUGGAGGUUCCGGCAUAUUGCUUUCUUUAUCCUUGUCUUUGCAGGUAUGAAUAAGGACAAAGGAAAGGACAGGAAGAACGCAUGAUAUGAGAUACUCUUUCUUUCUACCCUAGUGAUAUGAGAUACUUUUUCUUUGGAGUCAUUGGCUUGCAGAGGUACCCCAAGGAAUAAGGAACACUGAAUAACUCGAGAGGUUUCGUUGGGAAAGCAUUUUUGGAGAUGAAGAAAGGCUCUGUAUGUCUGCCUUGCUAUGGAAGGUGAAGGUGGACAGUUAUAGGCGGUCCCUUAAUACCUGUAGAGGUACUAUUCUUUCACUUGUGUCGGCAACUAACGCGUGAUUGAACAGUAAACUUUCACGUGCUUUCUCCUUCACCGAAAAUCUUCGACAAAUUGCCCGUGAUUUGCGCAAAGUUGAGUGUGCAUAUGACAGGUGAUAACGCGGCUGAAAAAGACUGGCGCCUCUUCGAUAUCUGGGAUCGGCGCUUCGACAAAUUACCCGUGAUUUCCGCAAAGCUGAGUUUGCGUGUGACGGGUGCCGACGGGUCUGGAAAAGCAAGAUGCUUCUCCGAUUUCCGAGCUUGCCUCUUAGAUUUUUGAAUGGCCUCUUCGAAUUUUGAGCUUGUCAAGUGCUGAUUUUUUAUAGAGGCAUGCAGUUCGUUUCAAAGCACACUUGAAUUUUCGCUUGUGAAAACUCCCUUCUUGCACUUCUAAGAUCUUGAUUUGUCCGAUCUCUUCUUUCUUUAACACUUUGAAAAUGUCUGGACCCUCCGACCGUCGUUUUGACUUGAACCUUGGUGAAGAGGCAAUCCCGCCUUCUCCAGACAACAUAUGGCGCCCAUCCUUCAUAUCCCCUACUGGUCCUCUUACCGUUGGGGAUUCGGUGGUGAAGAAUGAUAUGACCGCUGCUGUGGUGGCCCGAAACCUUGUCACUCCCAGAGAUAACAGACUACUUUCCAAAUGGUCUGAUGAGUUGGCUGUUAAGGAUUCUCUGGCUCUCAGUGUGCAGUGUGCAGGUUCUGUGUCUAAUAUGGCCCAACGCCUAUUUGCUCGAACCCGUCAAGUUGAAUCAUUGGCGGCGGAAGUGACGAGUCUUAAACAGGAGAUUAGAGGGCUCAAGCAGGAGAAUAAACAGUUGCAUAAGCUCGCACAUAGCUAUGCGACAAACAUGAAGAGGAAGAUUGACCAGAUGCAGGAAUCUGAUGGUCAGAUUUUACUUGAUUAUCAGAGAUUUGUGGGUUUGUUCCAGCAGCAUUUGCCUUCGUCUUCUGGGGCUGUACCGCGUAAUGAAGCUCCAGAUGAUCAACCUCCGGCUCCUCUUCUUCCUGGAGUUUCGCCGAGUGAUAAGGCGCCACCUGAUCAUCCUUGAAGAUCCCCUCCUGUAAAUUUGAUUUGACUUUUUUUUUUUUUUUUACUGAUGUAAAAUGUACAUUUUUUGUAAAUUUUCAAAGAAAUCAAUAGAUGAGCCUUAUUUCAUUUUUUAUGUGUGUGUAUAUAUAUAUAAAUUGUUUUUUUCUUUAAUCAUGGUGCACCCAUUUUCUUCACAUGGUGCCAGACGCACCAAAGAUCAAAAACUUAUUAUUAUUAUUAUUUUUUUUUAAUUUUAUUUUAUUAUUAUUAUUUUUUUUUAUUAUAUAUAUAUAUAUAUAUAUAUAUAUAUAUUUUGCCUUUAAUUAUGGUGCCAGAUGCACCCUUCCCCCUUUUUUUCAUAUGGUGCCCGACGCACCAUGCAUUUUUAUUAUUUUAUUUUAUUUUAUUUUUUUCUUUUAUCAUGGUGCAGUGUUCCACCAUAUAUAUUUUUUUAUUAUUUUUUGUUUGUAUAAAUUUGGAUGACGGGAUGGGGAAUUUGCAGGGAGCGGAGCAAGGAGGCCGAGAAGAUGGUUGUUUGGCAGAAAAUGCGAGGCAAGAGACGGAGGAUGAGGGGCUGUACAUGCCGCUGAAGCUGAUGGGCAGAAAGAGAAAGUGAGCACAGCCACCGAGCACAGCUACGGAGCACAACCACCGAGCACAGCCAACGGACCCCACCUCGUUAAUUCCCAGGGCUCCCCUAAAGACAAACUUGCUCCACGCCGCCGUCCUCGUCUUUCCUCUCUGCCCAAAGAGAGCGCCAUCAACCUCCAAUCGUCGCAACCACCAUUCUCGAGCUUUUCGACUCCAGCUGGCCUCUCCACCUUCACCGCCGCAUCGGCGUCAGUGACAGCGGCAUCACCUUUCCCGUCUAUCUCAGACCUUCAUCUUCACCCAACCGACCAAGUUAGUGUCCCCAAAAUUUUUUCUUGUCUGUUGGGGUAGAAGACGUAGAUGAGGAAGUUGACUUUGAAGGCCUGUGUUUCGGACUCUUGGAACUAACUGGUGAUUUUAAGAGUACGCCUGCCUCUGCGUCCGAUGGGCAUGCAGAGUUAUACAAGUUGAUGGGAGAUUCGCUGCCCGCUAUUUGCUUUGUUCUCUGUGUUAUGUUCCUUAGAAAUGGGAUGAGCGAAAAAGGCCCAUCGAGUAUGUAAGUAGAUGCAACAAACACCCCCCCAGGUCGCAGGACUCGACUAAUUUCAGCAACAGCUGUUGAUGGUGAAGGCCAACAAUGUAUGGCAGCACCAGCAUGCACUGCAUCCACAGAACCAGUAGCAAACGGAAGCCGAGAAAUAUCAGCUCUGACCAGGAUCAUGUUCUCUUUGGGGAAGUUCUCCUCCUGCUGAAUGAAUCCAUAACACUCCUUCAACAUGUUCUCCGAGUAGUCCAAAGCAACAACAAGAGAAAACAAUCCACUCUUAGCGAAAAGUCUAGAAAACAUCCCACUCCCACAACUUGCAUCAAUGAUAUUUCCACCACCCAAGACUGGCUUUAAGAAAUCCUUAAUCAACUCAAACUCUUUCUCUGGGCCAGGAAAUCCACCCCAUACAGUAAAGCUUUGACGCCAGCCCCUCUCAUAGAGGUACGAUACCAAUGGAGUCCUAAAUAUUUCUGUGGUAACGGGCAUUGAUUCACCAUAGUCCUUGGUGCCGCUUGCUGUUGUCAGGUCAAUAUGUGUUUCGUUGCCAAAGUAUGUCUUCUUACAAGUGCCACAUUGAAAACUAGACCCAGAAGCAGACUCAACAGAUAAGCCCGGAUCACCGGAACUUGAAAAUGGAUCGUAGCAUAUCGGACAAGCUAAAAUGUUGUUGCUGCUGAUGCCACCAUUUUGCACCACAAUUGGUUCGGUUGGCUCGACUUCGACGACGGCACCCGAAGCAGCAGCUCGAACUUUGAUUGCCGCCGCGAAACAGCACUUGAAAACCCGUGAAGCAGCAGAAGUCCUGAGCUUGAGAAGACAAGGCCUUGAAUUACCGAGUUGACUCAGAAGAAACGGGGAGCAAAGGUUGCCGACCACCGUCUCCAUGAUCGCUCUAUUUUGGUGUGUGGUUCAGGCGGCUGUUGCCGGAGUUGGAUUUCAGGAGAAGGAGGAGGAGGAGCGUUUGCAGAUGGCGGAGGGAGGCCUUCAAACAGGUCGUCAGCCAUGUCCCUCUCCCUCUCGAUCGAACUGGCUCGGAGUUGAGAUUAACGCUCUGGAGGAAAUCGGGGAGCUGGAACAGCGGGCUCGGACGCAGGAGAUGUAGCGGGUGCUGCGGGAGAGGGUGAUUUUGCCGCCGCCGUUGGGGCCGACGAUAAAGCUUUGCAAGGACCAUCACACCGCGCGCCACGAAGCACGAUUGCUGCCCCGUCGAUUUGAUCUCCGAACCCUAACCCUGGGAUAGAGACAGUAGACUUGCGGUUAGUGCAUUUGAAAGCUGGGCCUAGGACUGGAUUUGGGUCUCUGCUUUUCUGGAACUUUGAGGAUUGAAGUGGUGGAAUGGAGGCCAUCGCCAAAGCCCAAUGUACAAGAGUUUAUGUCUCGGGCCUUGAGGUCCACCUGCUAGUCUUGAUUUUUUUUAUUUUUUUUAUUUUUAAACAAAAUAAAUUUGCAAUGAAAUUGACCCUCAUCAAUGAAACUUUAAUCAAACCUCUUUUUUUUUUUUUUUUUGAAGAAGAAGAACAUAUAUAUAUAUAUAUAUACACACACACACACCUUAUUUAUCUAUUAUUAUUAUUAUUUUUUGAAAUUACAAAGAACUAUUUAUUGUUACCUUUGUAAUAAAAUUGACUUUUUUUAAUAAAACAUUUAUUUAUAUUUUGAUGUGACUGAACUCGAAAUUUUGAAUAUUCAAGCUGCCUACGUACCCCUCCAAAGAAGAGAUCAAGUCGUAACGUAGUUCAAAUACAUAUUUUUUUUGGAUUUUCUUUUUUUUUGUGCCAUUUGCAGUUUCAGCUCAUGCAGGCAAGAAGCGAUUUCGUGUUGCCUUUUAUGCUCGUGCAGACCAGGAGCGUUGAUGUUGCCUUUUAUGCUCGUGCAGACCAGGAGCGUUGUGCCAUGCAGUUUAGGCUCGUGCAGGCGAGGAGCCUUGUGUCUUGCAGUUUAGGCUCUUACAGACAAGGAGCUUUGGUUCGUGCAGUUUAGGCUCGUGCGAACAAGGAGCAUGGUUCGUCAAGCGAUCUGAGAGAGUCGUUCCUCGCAAUCUUCGUAGCAAGGAGCCUUGACUGAGUAGUUGAAGAAGUCUUCUGGGAAGAUGUCACGCAUCGUGAUGGGGAUAGAUGAUCUUCGUGUCAAAGUUUCAUUAUCUCCAACACUUUCACAUUGUUCUAGAGGUGAACAUGAACUGUUUUUCCCCCUUUCCCAUUGGUGAGCUUGUGGAGAAGACAUAUGCUUCUUGUGCAAUUUCUUCAGAGUGACAUAAGUUCAUCCUUCAACUUCACUCGGCUUGACUGGCAUGUUUUUGGAGCAUGCCCCCAGUGAUUGAGGUGAAAAUUUUGAGUUGACAGAGCCGGAAGUGACGUCUUUUUCCAGGAUUUCGUCUUCUUUGUCUUCUUGGGCCUUCUCUUCAGUGUGGCCUUCUUGGGUUUGUUGCCGUGAAGAUUGGCCGGUGUAGAUGAUGGUGCGCCUCCUUACCUUCAGUGGUCCUUUUGUGUCGACUUCCAAAGUUGCUUGGCGCUUCAUCCUUGAAGGAAUCAAGCUUUGAACAUCGUCUUUUCCUGCUAGACUGUCGAGCUUCUCUCCCUUUGGCGUUGUCUUCCUGUUUCUAGAAGGCUUCUUAGUUUCUUCAAGUCUGUCCAAAGCCGACCGUUGCGGAGGAGAUCUAGCUGUGCCGCUUUGUUUCUUGGGUUUUGAUAACCUUUCAAAGACUGAUCUUUGCGGUGUUGGCGUCUCAAGCCUUUUGAAGACGGAAUUUUGGUCUCGACCACUGAUGCGAUCAAGUGCUGCAAUUCUAGGUUUUGAAUAAUUCAGCCUUUCGAAGACUAAAGUUCUAGGGGCGGGUUUAGGCUCCUCUUUUGGCCUUGUGGCUUGUGGUCUUGGCUUCCUCAUUUUUUUUGUAGGUCACCGAUGUCCACCCUUUCUUAUCACCAGUAGAUGCAUCUUGGUUGCUUGCCCCCGGUGAUGGUUGUGUAGGAGGUGCCAUGUGACUUGAACAUUGACGAGAAUGGUCAUGCAUGCUUCGGAGAUGCACAGGAUCGAGUGAUUCAAACACGAUAGUAGUAGUGUGUGCCGCAACCGUGUCUUUGAGGUCAAGCUCGAUCUCCCCUUGCUGUGCUAGCUUCAGGAUGAGAUCUUUCAGUACGAAGCACUUUUCUGUUGGAUGACUGAUGAAGCGGUGGAAUUUACAGUACCUUGGACUGUCAGUGCGAUUCAUCUCUUCUGGCCGUUUGCACUCAGGCAAACCGAUCACCUUCUUUUCCAGCAAGUCUUCUAACAUAGCAACCACAUCAAAGUCGGGGAAUGGAUAAGUCCUCUCCUCAAGCUCCUUCAAAGUGCGUCUACGCAUCUCUUGAUCACGAAAAGCUUCGGUUUGAAUCGCCUUGCCUCGUGUAGGGAUUUUGACGGGAGCUGUGUUGACCGUCAUUGCUUCCUUGGUGGGUUUCCAUGCAGUCUUCUCCAACUUUGGCCCAAGAACUUUGUCGUUCUUGUAGUUGGCGAUCGGUUCUUUCUUCCCAUGAUGGGCGAUGCUCAACUCCAUGUCAUGGGUGCGAGUGGCCAAUUCCUCGAAAGUCCGUGGUUUAAUGCCUUGAAGGAUGUAUUGCAAACCCCAUUGCAUACCUUGGAUGCACAUCUCGAUUGAAGAGGUUUCCGAGAGCCUGUAUUUACAGUCGAGGCUUAGAGUGCGCCAUCUGUUGAUGUAGUCAAUGAUUGGCUCGUCCUUCCACUGCUUUGUGCUCGUUAGCUCUAGCAUGCUCACAGUGCGGCGGGUGCUGUAGAAGCGGUUGAGGAAUUCCCGCUCUAAUUGCUCCCAGCUGUUGAUGGACUCAGGCUCUAGGUCUAUGUACCACUCAUAGGCGUUUCAUUUCAGCGAGCGCACAAACUGCUUGGCGAGGUAAUCCCUUUCGGUUCCUGCGUUGUUGCAAGUUUCAACGAAGUGGGCAACGUGCUGUUUCGGGUUUCCCUUUCCAUCAAAUUGCAUGAACUUUGGUGGUUGAUAACCCCUCGGCAUCCUUAAGGCGUCGAUCUUAUUUGAAUACGGCUUUGAGUACAACCCGGAGGUAUAUGAGCUCCCUUCGUACUGUGCCUUGAUGGUGUUGGUGAUCAUCUCUUGCAGCUGCUGGAUAGAAAGAGAUCCCAUGAGUGCCGCUGCUUGGUCUGGCUUCGGCUUCACAUCGUUUUUCUCCACCUGAGGCUCAUCUUUUUCGUCAUCUCUUCUCUUUAGUGGAUCAUUCUUUGGGUCGGGGUUCUCGUCGUCCUGUGGCUCCAGUCGGCUGAUGAGUGCAGCGAUUUGCAAGUCUUUUUCUUCAACAAUCCGUGUUAGCCUUGUGAUCGCUUCAUUCAUUUGAGCCAGUUGUUCUUCAACGGAGGUAACGCCGAUAGUCAUGACUUGUGCGACCAAUAGACGUGACUUUCCUUUAGACAUCCAGGAUGCUGAUGAAGAACGUCGUUGGCUGCUUUGGGAUGUCAUCUUGUGUGCCCCAACAUCAUGCUUCGGUGCCCCCAGCGAGGUCAGGUUGAUGACAUACUCACACCUUGGAUGCUCCCCUUGCUCUUUUAGCGGUACCAAUUUUGAAGUGGCAUGUUGAGGAGCGGUUGUGGCGCCAAUGGAUUGUCCGUUUGCGGCAGAAGUGCUUAGGAUCCUUCCCUCCGUGGUUGCAAGAACGGCUUGUCCCUUGCUUGAUGCCAUUGACUUUGAGGUGUGCUUGGAUUCCUUGAACGGAGAAAGAGAUAAGAGGUAGAGAUUGUCCCACUGGGCGUGCCAAUUUGUGAACACGGAAAAUUCCUGGAACGAAAGAGACAAGAACAACGUGCACAAACAAAUAUUUGUAUUUGAUGAUUUUGGGUUACAAUCUCUCUCUAACUUGAUCCUCUGAUUCGAUCUCCGUAAGGUGUUGAUUUGUGGGUGUUUCGUUGAUCCAAGGGCCGUCAAGGCUUGAUCUUGGAUGAACAGUUGGAAGUUUCUUCAAAUGGCCGUGGGCUUGAUCUUUGAAGGUGGAUUUGAGCGGAUCUUCAAGGAGCCGUUGGAGCUUGAUCUUGAGGAUGAAUGUUUCUUCAAGGGCCGUUUGAGGCUUGAUCUUGAAUAACGGUGAUGAGCGGAUCUUCAAGGGCUUUUGGGCUUGAUCUUGAAGAAUGGUUGGAUGUGUGGAUUUGUCGACGUUUGUUGAUCCAAAGGGCCGUUGGGGCUUGAUCUUUUGUUGAUCCAAAGGGCCGUUGGGGCUUGAUCUUGGAUGAACGGAUGAUGAAUGAUGGUGCUUUCUUCAAGGGCCGUCGGGGCUUGAUCUUGAAAGAGCGAUGAACGAAGAACGAAGAACGAAGAACGAAUAACACUUUCUUCAAGGGCCGUCGGGGCUUGAUCUUGAAUUGGUGGAUGAUUGUUGAUCCAAAGGGCCGUUGGGGCUUGAUCUUGGAAGAACGAUGAACGAAGAACGAAGAACACUUUCUUGAUUCUUCGGGUACCUAGAUGCUUAAGAGCUUCGGAGUUUCAGAGCUUCAAAGCUUCAAGGUGUAAUAUGAAUUGGUUGAUCAAAUGAAUGAAAUGGGCUUGUAUUUAUAGAAUUUUCCAAGGCCUAAUUUUGAAUAUAAUAUCUCAGAUGAAAUAAGUCGUUUCUGUCAGGUGUUGACACGUUUCCUAUUUGAUGACUUUUCCAACUCAUUUCAAUUUUCGUUGAGUCACACGCUACGUGUAAAAUUUAUGUAAUACAUGAGCGUUGACACUUUGAUUUAUCGGUCAACAUUUAUUUACCGAAAUUUCGAUGUCUACAGUUUUUUUUUGAUUUUUUACGUAUGCGAUCUCGAAGUGUGUACAAACAAGUUUGACGGUUAGAUCGUUGAAAAACGCUUUGUAGAAUGCGUAUUGCAUCAAAACGGUAGAUUAAACAAACACUUAGAGUUAAUGUUAUACUUCCAUUAAGUAUAAAAUAAGAUUUCCAGUAGUGUAAAUAUUUUAAAUUGAAGAUCGAAUUCGUUCAAUGCAUUCUUAUAGGGUCGAUGAGUGUUGCUGUAAAAAAUCAUCAAAAUCGGAGCUAAAGUAACCGUUAAUUUGUGAUUUUUCGUUUAUAACCGUUGAAAUCUUUUCUUUUGUUACCUAAUCUCUUAAUGUUUGUUUUUUGUGAUUUUUUACGUAUGCGAUCUCGAAGUGUGUACAAACAAGUUUGACGGUUGGAUCGUUGAAAAACGCUUCGUAGAAUGCGUAUCCCAUCAAAACGGUAGAUUAAAUAAACACUUAGAGUUAAUGUUAUACUUCCAUUAAGUAUAAGUGUAAAUAUUUUAAAUCGAAUAUCAAAUUUAUUCAUUAGACAAUAUUUAUUUAUGUUUUUCAAGUAUUGAUUAGACAAUAUUUAGUUUGUGUGAUGACAUUUUAUCGCAUAUUUUACAUGCAUUAUUCUCUAUUAAACCAAAAGUGUAAAAAUUAUCUAUUAAACCAAACAAUUAUUUAUUUAAUUUUUAAAAACAUAUUCUAUUUAAAUACAUAUUAUUUAUUUAUUUAUUAAACCAAACAAUUAUUAUUUUAUUUUUUUAAAUUGUAACAAAAUUUGGGGGGAAAUUAAAAUUUUGAGGGAAAAUUUUAAAAUUUUCGGAAGGAAGUUUGCCGCCAUUUUUUUGUCUGUCGGUUAUAACCGACAGUAAUGGAAUUUUUCUGUCAGUUUUUAUUUUUAAAAAAUGUUUCUGUCGGUUUUAACCGACAGUAAAUAAAAUAACCUAAAUUUUUAAAACCCAUCCAUCUUCCUUGCGCCGAUGCUUCCUGCUUCCCCCUUUCCCUUAUUCUCCUGUCCUCAUUUCCUUCUCCUUCUCCUCUCUUCUUUUCUAUUCUGUUCGAACACUUGCAACCUAUUCCAACCAACAAUUCCACACACACUGUAGAGGGCGUGGACAGAGGGUUGAUGGGAAGGGUUGGGCGUGGACGGAGGGUUAAUGGGAAGGGUAGGAGCUAGAGAGAGGGGGGGUGAGGGGUGGGUUCUGUCCACUGACGUUGGUUGCGGGGAGAGAGAGAGAGAGAGAGAGAGAGAGAGAGAGAUGGGGAAAAGUAUGGGGUUAGGGUUGAGGGGAACGGAACGGGUACAGAGAGAGAGUGAGGAAGGGACAUAGGAGUUAGAGGUAUGGGUUCUGCUGCAUCCUUCCUAUUCGAAAGGUACAUGAAUGGCUUCUCAUCUGAAAUUAUUAAACAUUGGAUUUGCUAUUUUGGUUGCGCAGCUAUGCAGGUGCUCUCUCCAAUCCAUCGAUCAGUUUAGUGCUAGCUGUUAUUGCUGCCUUGGAAAUCAACAAUAUUCCUUCAGCUCCUUGGUUCCUGUCAUUGUGUUUGCAUAUUUUAUAUCCUUUGGUUUCUCAGGUUAUGUACUUAGGUUUGGCGUUGCUUGCUUAUUGUUUUCGUGUUUAUAUUGUAUCAACGACUCUUAGCUUGUUUUGGCUUCUUGCAGGCUUACGGGAUUCUGGAAAUCUGUGUUAUUUUGUUCCUCUCCUCGAACUGAAGAGAUGUUGUUCAUGUUAGCAUGGAUGUUUGUCUAGUCUCCUCACAUAAUGAAAUGAUGUGCUUGACAUGAAUAAGGGUACUUGAUACAACCAUUUUUUCCGAUUUUGUUUGGCCAAGAAUGUAUCUGUAUAAAAUCCAAAUGCAACCGCAGUUGGGUGAUGGAUUACAUUAUCGCUCGUUUCUUUAACUUCUAAGAUUUCUACCUGCGAUAAUUUUGCGAUAUCUUGUCUGUCAUUGUGAUUUUCUUUCCCUGAUUGCAACCAUACGAAGACUUAGGUUGAGGAUUUAGAACGAAUAUUAGCAAGCUUCUCUUAUCUAUAUUGUUAAUUUGUUAUAGCCUAGAAAGGAUGAUCAUGACCCUCCCUGACAGUCACCGGUGAGAUCGAGCUCCGGCGAGGUUGGAUGGUGAAUGCGGGGAUAUGGAAAAUGCAGAAAGUGAUUUUAUUUUUUUUAUUAUUAAUAUAAGUCCUGUCGGUUUUAUCCGACAGUAAAUGAUUUUAUUUAUUAUUUUUAAUUAAUUUUUGUCGGUUUUAGCCGACAGUAAAUGGUUUUAUUUAUUCAUUUUUAAUUAAUUUCUGUCGGAUGGUUUAAUGAUUUUCUGUCGGUUUUAUCCGACAGAAAUAUUUCUGUCGGUUAUAUCCGACACAAUUUCUGUCGGUUUUAGAGUAGUUUCUGUCGGAAAAUUAAUUUCCUGACGCAAACAAUUCUGUCGCUUAUUAUAUCCGCCACUGCAUCCAUUUUCUGUCGGAUUUUGCUUAAAAUCCGACAAUAAUAUAUGUUUUUUGUCGGUUUUCAAAACGCCACUAAUAACUGGUUUUCUAGUAGUGUGAGUGGCGUCCAUUGCCAUGAAUAUCAUCGAGGGGUUAGUUGAAGUGGUGAUGGGAAGGUGGAGGUUGAUGGGGAUGGUGAAAUGGUAGAUACAACAAGCUUGCCAGUGAAAAAGAAAUUUGUUAAUGAGACAGAAAGUACAAGGUUAACACUAACGGAAAAGAUUCGGGCAAGAAAAAAGCGAGAGGGAUAGGAGAGAAUGGCAAGGGAGAAAGCCUUCGAUGAGAGGUUGAUUAGGCUGGGAGGAACGGUGGCGCUGGGGGUUGAAAUGUGGUGCUACUUAGUUUAGAGGAGGUGGAGAAAGGAAUUACAAAAGUGUUGGUGCCCGAGAAAUUUGGUGUGGUGAUUGACCUAAAUCUCAUGCCGAUGGAAGAUGAUCUAAUAACUGGUGAUAAGAGGGCUAUUCAUGUUCCUAUGGAAAAGUUGAAUAGAGUGAGGGAGGAGCUACCUGAGGCUCAGGAGUUGGUUUCGAUGUUUGGAACCCAAGAUUCUGAUCUUUUUAAUUUGGGACCAAUUAUUGAGGCCAUCUCUCAGGAGAGAAAGGCAAAUAAGCAGGUAUUAAUAGAGGUAGAAGGGUUCGAAGAUGUAAUGGCAACGAAGUCCAGGAGCAUUAGACGUCGAUCGUCCAAUGAUAUUACUGAGGCGGAGGAGACCAGCCUUGAGGGGUCUCCCAAGUCCCCAUGAAUCUAAUAGCAUGGAACUGUCAGGGUAUUGGGGGUGACCUGAUAGUUAACAAAUUGUUGGAGCAAAAUAGGCUCCAUAACCCCUACAUAGUGAUCUUGCUAGAAACAAAGAAUAAAAGUAGGCAUUAUGGGAGUUUAUGCAUGUCAUGCCCCAACCCAAGGAUUAACGUAAACCUUGGUUUAGAACGUGAAUCACACCUUAAUUAUAAGCUUAACUAAUAUAAUUAAGAAUGUGACAUGAAAUAAAAGCAUGUAUAACUCGCUUGGAAUAAAAUUAACUGAAUAACAGAUUCAUUAUUGAAAGUUUCAGCCAAAUUUACAACUUAUGAACUACUGAAAGUUCACACAAAGUAGUUCUUUAUUCAAACAAGAGAGCAAAAGCCAACAAGCUCAUCUUUUUAUUUCUCCUACAUAAUUACACAACAGACAGCAAGUAGACUUUUAGGUUUCUGGUUCUGUACCUGCAAAAUUUCAUUAGGGUGAGCUUAAAAAGCUCAGUAGGGGCAUAUACCUGAUGCGUAAAAUAAGUUAACACACAAAAUUAAACCCUCUUUUUAUCAAAUGUAGUAAAGUAUGUAAGUAGGGAUCGUUCUAGGCCGGGGAUUAGGAGGGAUUGCUAAACCCUUGAAAACUGACUUAAAAACAUAAAAACAAAAUUUAAAACACUAAACUAGACUCAAAGAAUGCAAAACUAUACUUUAAAAUACUUAAACAAACAUAAAACUCAAAACAGCAACCUAAUGACUCAAAACUGCCUAAAAACCACUUUCUGGGCAGUUUUGAGAACCUAACAAGAACUUGGACAAAGUUGGAUGAAAACUUGAAUCAAAACACUUAGAAACACAAAUCAAAACACUUUCUAACUAAUCUAAGACUUCAAAAUAAAGGGGGAUUUGUUUUGGACGAAAAUUGAAAACAAAACAGAAACUUUAAAACAAAACAGAUUGUAAAACGUUUUUGGAUGAAAAUGAUGGAUAAAAGGCUAGUUAGGAGGUUCUUCUCCACACAUGACACACUUGCAAACAAAAUGAUUUUCAGUUGUUCUUUCAAUAAAUUAUGAAACUCAACACCCCAAGUUAAUUAGAUACGCUUAAAUUAACCUUCAAGUUCUCCUUAAGUUAAUGAAUUGGAUGGAAAAGCGCAUACAACAAUUCAAAGCAUUCCUCAAAGGUUCCUUACGUGAUGAGCACAAUAAAGAUACAAUCAAGAAUCAUGAAGCACAAUGAGAACUAUAAGUGUUGACGAGGCAUUCGUUACUAUGAUGAGCAUGAAACUAGUGCCAAGAAUUCAUUCAACGCGAUCGUUUUCAAGCGACCUUCACUACUUGUGAUUAUAAGAUUGUAACUAUUAGGUGAAACUCCCUCAUAAUCUAGCAUCAUAUUCAUGCAUGAAAACUAAGCGUGCACUCUCAAUCAACAUACACAAAUAAGUUAUCAAUCAAGUAGAUGAACGAAUUGAAUCCGCAACUUAUGAAAUAACAACUGAAUGUAAUCAAAUCAUAUUGCAAGCAUGUACAUGGUUUCGAAUCACCCCCCAACUAAGGGGGUUUAGUUCCUCAUUCUUGCAAUACAAAGAUACAUAAAAUUAGACAUCAAAAUCAAAGGAAAGAAAAACACCUAAAAUGCUCCAACUUGGAAAGCAAGUGCAUCAAUGGAUCUCCCUUCCUCCUUGUUGCGGCAUGAAGCUUGUGGACAGAUUUUUGGGUGGAUUUAUGGUGUAGAAUGGAUGGGGAAUGAUAUGGAGGGGUUUAGGGUGAGUGUGGAAGAGUGUUUGAUGGUUGGAAGGUGGUGGAGAACUAGGCAAAGAGGGUGGAAGAAGGUGGAGUGGCUGUUAUGUUUUCUAGGCACUAGAAUGGUGUUUUUUGGGGUGUUUUUGCUUCCUAGGGUGUGUAUGGACGAAUUUCUGUGAUAAAAUGAUGAAUAUGGGGGAUUGUUCUUUGGCCAAGGGGUGUAAACAUGUAUUUAUAGGCCCCAAAAACCUUAGAAAAUCAGGUUAGGUUAAGGAUGAAAUGCAUGGCAAUUUGUGUGUGUGGUGUGCAAUGGUCCAAGGGUGAAAAUGAAGUGAUGAUGCAAAGUGUGAAGGGUAAAAUGGAGUGGUCUUGUAGCUAGGGGGCAUGAAUGAUUGUGUACAUUGCAUAGAGAUGGAAAGGGAGGUGAAAAUGUGUCAAUAAAUGGGUCAAAGGUGCAGCAACAUGUGGUACACAAGGCAUGGGAUUCCAAAUGUGAAUGAUGGAGCAUCAAUUGGUGCAUGUAAUGGAUGUAAAUGUUGUCUAAAAUCUAAUGAGUGAAGGGAACAAGAGGUAUCAAGCAAUUGAGUGUAAUAAUUAAAUGAAUUGAAGCAUGAAAUUAGAAAUUAUGUAGGGGACAAGAGUGAUCAAGCAUGGCAUGGAAUCCAAAGGGAAUUCUAUGUGGUUUGCAUGGCAAGGAAUGCAAGUUGGGGUGACAGAUUUUUGGGCUGUUUUCUUCAUCUUUUGGACCAUAAUUCUUCAUAUUCUUGGCCUCUUUAGUUCUCAAAUUCGUCCAUCCACUUGGCCCAUGCAUUUGCUAUCCAUUCCAAGCCCGAAACAUGCUCCAAAGGCCUCCAAAAUGCAUCUUCUUGCAUACUUUGUACUUAGAGUCUGAAAACACACGAAAAUUACUUUAAACAUUAAAAUAACUAAGGAAACACGACAUAAAUGCACAAGAACAAGCCAACUAAGUCGCAUAAAUAUGCUCCUAUCAAUACCUUCAUUUCUAAAAUAAUAAAGUAUAAUUAUGAUAGCAGAAUUAAAACCAAAAUCAGAAUGGUGCAUAAGUAUGCAAUGCAAAUGCCUUAAUUAUACCCGUUAAUCCACAUAACUAAACACCCAGACCUUGUACGUCCCAUUCCGUACUUAUACCAUUUGAUCCCGAGUGUUUAAAUAUAUGAACUAACCCCCAUCCCUAAACAUCCCCGAACUCCCCUUUUUGUUAGUCAUCUUGCCUAAACUCUUCGUCUCCAGUCCCGAAUUACCCUUAAAGAAUCUGUGCACUGUGGGCUCGCCUGAGACCUGGUACCUACUAAGAGUUUGGCUCAACUACACAAAACUAAUAGUCACCACCUUAGAUUCCCGAAGUUCUUUCCAACAAUCCCACUUUACUCCCACAUCAUGGACCCAAAUUUCAUUUCGAACAUUCAUUAUACUCAAAUAUCCAAUAGAAACAUGUAUAUCAAACUUGUAUAUAUACUUAAGUAAGAAAUAUUUAAAUUCAUAUAUAUAUAUAUAUAUAUAUAUAUAUAGAAGGUUUCCCAGAACCCCCUACCUUGAAUUCGAUUAAUUUUGCUUCUCUGAAGAACCCUUCAAAUCUCUGAAUCCUUCCUUCACAAUCACGUUCUCUAACUCUCAAUUUCUCUACCCCUUUUUGAUUUCUGAUGCUUUCCCACUUCUCUGCAACCCCUUUUAUAGUUUCUCUAAUCCUACUAACUCCUAUCAGAGUCCUGAUAAAAACCUAGCUUCCUAGGUCGUCCACCUCCUGCUUAUAGACCUCUGUGUCUCUUCUCCGUUCACCCUCCGCUGAACACACUCCUUGGUGAAAUAGGAGAUGAACAACUAUCUAUGACACACUCCUUUGAUCAAUCAAAGGUCGACCUAUCACAAGGUGUCCUAAUCUCUAUCUGAUUUUUGGAUAUGAAGAAAGAAGAUUUUUUUUUUCCUAAAGGUAUGGAAGGCCACCUCCUCCCUACUUCCUUGUUUCCAUCGUACAGAAAGGAAAGGUAUGAAAGGAUGGUCCUUUCCUUUCUUUUGUAGAAUAUUAUUUUAUUAUUAUUAUCAUUAUUAUUAUUUUUUUUUUAAACAAUAAUAGGAAAUCUAAUAAAUAAAAAGUAUAUUAUUAAAAGCUAUUAAACAAAAUAAACACUAAGUAGACUAAAAUUUUGUAUAAAAACAAUUAUAAUCACACUUCACUCUUAAUUUAAACGAGGGAUAUUACAAUGCAUGCAGUGGAACCUAGAGGGAUUGGUGGUGGUUUGUGCUUGUUUUGGAAAGAUGAUUCACAAGUGCUUUUGGUGAAAUACGCGGACUUUGUGAUUGACGUUAAAAUAUGUGAUUGACGUUAAAAUAUGAAAUGAUAGUAAACAAUGUUAUUGGUGUUUAUUUGCUAUUUAUGCUAGUACUAAUGAGAAAAAACGGCGGGACCAAUGGAUGAUGCUAAGUAAACAGACAGAGAAUGAAAGUGAUAGGUACCUCCUGAGAGAGGAUUUUAAUGACAUACUGAGCAACAAAGAAAAAUAAGGUGGGAACUACAUAACAGCGGCUAGUAUAAGGGACUUUAAAGAGUUUGUGGCACAGAACGAACUUAUAGACCUGGGCUACGAAGGUUAUCCGUUUACUUGGAGGAAUAAUAGAGAGUCUAAGCCAAUUGAACAAAGGCUCGAUCGUGGGUUGGCGAGCAUCGGGUGGCAUGAUCUUUAUCUGGGUACUAAAAUCCUGCAUGUGGUGUUAGAAGGAUCCGAUCACGCAAUGCUUGUUCUUUCCACGGAGAAGAUGAGGGCUUGGAGGGAAAGAAGAUUCACGUAUGAUGCAUGAUGGGGAAAGCUAGUUGAAUGUCGUGACUUGGUGGUUGGGGAAUGACGUGACAAUUAUGGUGGUUAACAUGCUUUUCGGUUUUGCGAAAAACUGAAAACUCUUAGGCGGAGUCUUAAGGUUUGGUAUAAAGGGAGAAGCAGGAACUAGAAAGCUAUUGACCAAUUGAAAGGAGAGAUUAGGAUGGCAUAUAAGUCAAAUGGAUUUGCCAUGAAUGAGGUGCACCUAAAGGAGAUGGAGCUUAGGAAAGCGCAUAAGGAAGAAGAGACUUUUUGGCGAGUGACGUCGAGGGUGUUAGCAUAAACACAACACCAUGAUCAUGCAAAGCAAGUUACCGUGAUUAAAACACAGAACCAUAAACCAUAAAGCAAUGCACAGAGAGAAAACAUACCUGCAGAAGAGUUCGAAGCUACUGCCAUGUCUGAUUUCUGCAGCAAAGUCGUGGUGCAUCUUCUCCUCUCUUCAGUGAACGAGACUCUCAACUAGUAAUAGGUCUUACUCUUAUAUUGAGUACACACUGCAAGAGCAGAGGCCACCAUAUAUAUACUAUACAAUCUUAGCCAAAUUCUAUAAGGAUUCCCCUAUUAAAAUCUAUAUAGAAUACUAAUUUAUCCUAAAUAGCAGUCCAGUUACAACAUGGAUUUACAAAUCCAUUCCCAACAAGACUUCCUACUCAAUCUCUAAUCCUACAACCAAGUUUACCAAUUCAUACUCAUGCUCAUAUUCUAACAGAGGAUCCAAAGGUACAAUGAGGGAGACAAUAAUACAAAGUUUUUUCAUGCGCAAACAAUGAAAUGGCAGAGGUUUAACCAGAUCUAGGGGUUGAAGGAUUCGCAUGGGGUGUGGCGUGAGAGUGAAACCAAAAUAUGUUCGAUUGAGGUGUCCUAUUUUUCAUACUUAUUUCAGUCUAGUUGGCCGAUUCAAAUUGAGGAGAUUAUGAGUUGUUUGGAUAAUCGGGUGACACACGAGGACAAUAUGUUUCUGACGGCUCCAGUGACGGAUAGAGAAAUACAGGAGGCGGCAUUUCAAAUUCCUCCUACGAUAGCUCCAAGACUAGAUGGGUUCUCCGGUAGCUUUUAUCAGGACCAUUGGGAGGUGGUGGGGAAGGAUAUGGUGAAUAUUGUCAAGGCUUUCUGGCAUUCCGACAUGGUUUUACAGAAACUAAAUCAUACAGAUUUGGUACUCAUUCCAAAGGUGACAUGUCCGAAGAACAUGACGCGGUAUCGGCCUAGUGCUUUAUGCAACACAAGCUAUAAGGUCCUCGCUAAGUUUCUUACAAAUAGAUUUAAAAGUUUGAUGCCGAAGGUGAUAAGUGACAAUCAAUCGGCUUUUGUGGUUGGGAAGCAUAUUCAGGAUAAUAUCCUAGUUGUGCAUGAGAUCUUGCAUUCCCUUAUGCAUCAAACAAAGGAGGACCAGACGGGUAUGGCAAUAAAAUUGGAUAUGACGAAGGCAUAUGAUCCUGUAGAAUGGGAGUUCCUAUUAGCUAUGAUGGCUAAAUUGGGUUUUGUGCUGAUGUUUUGUAGGUGGGUAAAGGAAUGCACUUCCACUGCUUCCUUUAGUAUUUUAGUGAAUGGAAACCUAAUGGGGUAUAUUUUGCCGAAGAGGGGGCUGAGGCAGGGGGAUCCAUUAUCUCCGUACUUAUUUCUUCUCUGUACCGAAGGGUUCUCUUCUUGACUUCAGAAUGGUAUGGAGAGAUGAGCUCUACAUGGAUUCAGGGUGACACCUAAUGGGGUGCCGAUAUAAUUUUUUUUUUUUGGCGGAUGACUCAAAGUUGUUUUGUAAUGCAACAGUUGAGGAAGCGCAAGGUGUGGUGGAUGUGUUGAAGGUUUAUGCAUCCGGGUCAGGUCAGGAAAUUAAUAUGUUAAAAAGCUCGAUUUUCUUUGGUUCCAAGGCUACGAAACGAAAUAAGAAAAAAAUUGAACGAACUUUGAAUAUUCAAAGAAAUGAAGGCUUUGGGAAGUACUUAGGACUACAAGCAGAUUUUGAUCAUUAAAAAAAAAAGUCUUUAAGGAGGUGCAUGAAAGGAUUGAGACAUGUGUGGCGGGGAUAGGCAGAGCAGCUCCUAUCUCAAGUGGGGAAGGAAAUCCUUAUAAAGGCAGUGGCCAUGGCUAUGCCAAAUCAUGCCAUGGGAUGUUUCAAGUUACCUAUUGGGGUAUGCAGAGACAUAGAGAAAGCUAAUAGGAAUUAUUGGUGUAGGGGAAACGAUUAUUGGAAGGGUGUUCACUGGGUUUCUUGGGAACAGUUAAUGAAGCAAAAGCGAUAUGGUGGUUUGGGUUUUAAAGAUAUUCAAUGCUUUAAUCUUGCCCUUCUGCCAAAGAUCAGGUGGUGACUGAUCCAUAACCUGGAGUUUCUCCUAGCUAGAGUGUUGAGAGACAAAUAUUUUCCAGGAAAGACAUUUAAGGAGGCGAGUGGUGGGAGGAUAACGUCUUGGGGUUGGAAGGGUAUCGUUGAAGCACGUAAGGUGCUAGAUUAUGGUAUUCGGUGGCGGGUUGGUAAUGGAACUUGUAUCAAUAUUAGAGAGGACCCGUGGUUUCCUAAACCCACUACUUUCAAAGUACGGCCUUGGGAGGGCCUGCUGAUAAGAGAUCCAACGGCUAGAAUGGCAUGAUAGAUCAAGUCAGUUUUUCAAUGGUUAGAUAGCUGCCAGCUCAAAUAGAAAGUCAGUUAGUUAGUUAGUGAGAUAGCUUCCUAGCUAAGAUGAGAUCCCGUGUAUAAAGUCUGAAAUACAACACAGUUUGUAAUAAUUCAUUCUCUCUCUAAAGAUCAAUACACAGAAUAUUUUUCAUUCUUUCUCUCUCUCUUUUCGCAUUCAUUCUUCAGUUUGUUGUUCUUCAUAGAACCAUUCCUUAGUUCUGUUAACAUGGUAUCAAUCGCUCAGGACGAUCUGUUUGGUGUUUUCCGCUGAAGCUGCAUACUCUGAGGGCGUUGUUACAACUAAGAUUUCGGGGUUCUUGCUGAUGAAUUCAUUUUCAUUUCUGGGUUGCUGGUAUUCUCGAUCUUUGAUUCAUAUUGGUGCUUGAAAUUUGUUGCAUAUGAUGUGUUUGAUAUAUUGCCUCAGUGAAAUGUACAAGUGAUAUGAAGGCCGAUGCCAAUUGUUUGAAUCUGAUAGUUGUUUGCUUAAGAAAGUUUGAUGUUCGAAGUCUGAUUGUUUGAUAAAGAUUGGAAGGUUGAUACAUUGAAAAGUUGAAAGAUUGUAAUUGUGUCACUUCAUAGAAAGGCCAAAGCCAUUAGUAUACUAUUUUGUUCUUUGAUAAUCAAGUUUCAGAAGUAGUUUUUUGUCUAUUACUCCGUGCGUUACAAUGGCUGCAAAUUUUGUCAAGAUUGAAGGGUUACUUGGACUGAUUACUGUAAAGUUGCAAGAAGAUAAUUUUGUCAAAUGGAGCUAUCAAUUCUCAUCUGUUUUAAAAGGGUUAUGAUUUGUUUGAUUUCUUCAAUGGAGAGUCACAGUGUCCGCCAAAAUAUUGUAUUACAUCUGAAGGUGGGGUUACAAAUGAGAUCUCAAUGGCCUACAAACAGUGGGUUCAAAAAGAUUUGGCUUUGCUCAGUUUACUUGUUGCUACAUUAAGUGAUGAGGUUAUGGAUCAUGUAAUCGGAUGCAAGACUGCUCAAGAAGCAUGGGAAAAUUUGCAGGAAAGAUUUGCUUCUGUUUCUGUUGUGCGAAUAAAUCAGUUGAAAACUGAAUUUCAUACUGCACAGAAAGGGAAUGAUUCUGUUGACAAGUUUCUGUUAAGGCUGAAGGUGAUCAAAGAUCAACUAAUUUCUGCAGGGGAGAGAAUUACUGAGAAUGAUUUAAUGAUUGCUGUUUUGUCAGGUCUACCAUCAGAGUUUGAAGUUAUCAAGACUGUAAUUCUUGCAAGAGAUACUUUCAUUUUCUCUAAAAGAUUUUCGAGCUCAGUUGAUGGGUGUUGAAGCUGCACUUGAAACAAAGAUGAAUACUCUUGCUGGAACAAUGUCAGCAAUGUAUAUGAAUGGUGAAUCGUCAAAUGCAAGAGGACCUCAAGGUAGUUUUCAGAAUUUCGAGCAAGGAGAAAGUUCUAAUUCACAAAGAUAUCAAGGAGGUUUUAAUGGUGGUUCUGGUUUUGCUGGGAAUGGAGGUAGAUCUUUUCAACAGAGAUCUGGUUUUAAUAAUAACAGAAGGUUUAAUGGAAAUAACAACAGCAGCAAUUCAAGAUCUUAUUCCAACUUUGGUAACAAAUCUUAUGGCUCUAAUGGUUUGACUGAUAACAACAAGGGAUCUCAGAAUUACUAUAGUGGUUCAAACAACUUUUCUGGUGAAAAUGGUUUCAAGCAAGGAAGUGGAUGGACUGGUAACACAAACUACAAGUCUGCUGUGUCUCCAGAGUGUCAAAUAUGUUCUAGAAGAGGGCAUACUGCACCAAAUUGUUACUACAGGACUGAUAAUGGUCAAGCUAAUCCUAGAGGGCCAAUCUUUUGUCAAAUCUGUGGCAAGAAAGGUCACACUGCACUCCAAUGCUAUCACAGGAACAACUACUCGUAUCAAGGACCUCCUCCACCUCAAACCUUGAAUCAAUCACCUAUGGGAAUGUCUGCUCAGACUUCAACUACAAUGCAAGAGGCUCAAAGUGUCCAUGGGUUUUCAAAUGCAGAUACAUGGGUGGUGGACACAGGUGCAACUCAUCACAUGACAGCCAAUCUUGAUCACAUCAAUCAUGUCACUCCUUAUAAUGGUGAAGCUAAAAUCACUAUAGGCAAUGGAGCAGGUUUGAGUGUCAAGAAUAUUGGUGCAUCUAAACUCAUUACUGAUACACAUACAUUUUUGUUGAAUAAUGUGUUGCAUGUCCCACUAAUUACAAUGAAUCUGUUAUCAGUUAAGAAGCUAUGUAGAGAUAAUGGAUGCUGGUUUAUUUGUGAUGAUUUGGUAUUUUUUAUACAGGACAAGGCAACUCGGGUGAUUCUGUACCAAGGAAAGAGUGAUGAUGGAGAAUUAUUCAAGAUACCAGUCUCAGUUUUCAGAAGUUCCUUUGCUGCAAAAUUAGAGAAUUGUGCUGCAUUUCUUGGGAAGAAAGUAAGGAUUUCAGUGUGGCAUAGAAGGCUGGGACAUCCAUCUGAGGAAGUGUUGUCUACAAUGUUGAAGCAUGCAGGAAUAUUAAUGAAUAAUGAUUCUUCUCAAUCUCUUUGUUCAGCUUGUAUUUCUGGAAAAAUGUGUCAGUUACCAUUUUCUGUAAAACAAGUUAGAACUACUUCUAUGUUUGAAAAGAUACACUCUGAUGUUUGGGGUCCAUCUCCUCAUAAGUCCAUAGAAGGGUAUAGAUAUUAUGUGAGUUUUAUAGAUGAUUACUCAAGGUUUGUAUGGAUUUUUCCUAUGAUGAAUAAAUCAGAUGUGUUCCAAAUCUUUGUCAAAUUUCAUGCCUUUGUUCAUACUCAGUUUCAUAGUUCAAUCAAAUGCUUACAAACAGAUGGUGGUGGAGAAUAUGUGAAUAGAAUGAUGAAGAGUUUCUUAGAUCAAAAAGGUGUUAUACAUCAGGUGUCAUGUCCUUAUACACCUCAACAGAAUGGCAUUGCUGAGAGGAAACAUAGGCACUUGGUUGAAACAGCCUUAAGCUUAAUGACAGAUGCUUCCAUUCCGGCUAGUUUUUUUGGUAUCAUGCUUGUUCAUAUGCUGCAUUCUUAAUCAACAGAAUGUCAUGUAAAAGUCUUGACAAUAGAUCACCUUAUCAACUGCUUUUUGGUGAAAAUCCUACAAUUCACAAUCUUAAAAUAUUUGGAACUGCAGUAUAUCCAUAUCUAAGACCUUACAAUGCAAAUAAGCUGCAGAAUAGAUCAAGUCAGUUUGUUUUUCUUGGUUUUGCAGUAGGAUAUAAAGGAGUGAUUUGCUAUGAUAUACAUACUGGGAAAUUUAUAAUAUCAAGGCAUGUUAUACAUGAUGAAGAUACAUAUCCUUUCAAACGACAGUCUGUCAACAAGGAUAUUGAUCAUAGUCGUUCUCAACAGUCCACUCAAGGUCAUGUAGUUAUUCAGGUUCCUAUUCCCAGUUCUAGACAUCUUGAUGUACAUGAUGGUGAAUAUAGAAUACAAGAAGAAAACACAGUGUUAUCAGAUUCUCAAAGUACUGAAAGUCAGUCUACAAUUCCAAGUUUGUCUACAUCACACAGAUAUAGUGAUAGUACAGAUCAGUCAAGGGAAUCACAUGACAAUUCACAGCAAAACACAGUACCCAGUUCAACAGUUCCAAAUUCUCCUCAUCAUCACUCUGGUACAUCAUCAAUGUUGCCUGUCCAAUCAGCUUCUCAACUUCAGGUAACUUUACCAAUAUCAUCACAAAUUGAAACAAAUGUUCAUACUGACAAUUCUACUGGUGUGAAUAAUUCUUGUUCGAUGCAUCAAAUGGUUACAAGAUUGAAGAGUGGCACCAUUCAAAGACGGAAUUAUAAUGCUUUUAUAGCAUCAUUUCCUGAGUUACAAACUCUGCAAAUAACUACAGAAGAUCAGUUCGUGGGAGGCUAUAGUUUUUUGUCUACAAUAGCUGAUGUAUCAGAACCAACUACAUUUCGGAAAGCUGCUUCAAUGCCUCAAUGGCAACAAGCGAUGCAAGAUGAGUAUGACUCUCUUAGGAGUCAAGGCACAUGGAUUUUGGUACCUCCUCCCAAUGACAGAUCCAUUGUUGGUAGCAAGUGGGUGUAUAAAGUGAAGAAAAAUUCAAAUGGAAGUGUUUCAAGAUACAAGGCCAGACUGGUGGCUCAAGGAUAUUCUCAAGAGCAAGGUGUGGAUUACUUAGAGACUUUUAGUCCCGUAGUGAGACACACUACUGUGAGGAUAGUAUUAGCCUUAGCUGCAACCAAUAAUUGGAAGCUUAGGCAACUUGACAUCAAAAAUGCUUUUCUGCAUGGUGACUUACAAGAAGACAUUUAUAUGAAGCAACCACAGGGAUUUGUUGAUGCAUCUCAUCCUACAUAUGUGUGUAAACUAAUCAAGUCCCUGUACGGAUUAAAGCAGGCCCCAAGAGCAUGGAAUUCGAAGUUCACUUCCUAUCUGGCAGCAAUGAAUUUUCAGCCUUCUGCUUCUGAUACAAGCCUAUUCACUAAGAAAGAUGGCAAUGAUAUUGUCAUUCUUCUCCUAUAUGUCGAUGAUAUAAUCCUUACAGGCUCAAAUUCUCUUAACGUACAGAAAGUGAUUGAUGAAUUGUCUGAAGUAUUUGAGCUCAAGGACAUGGGACAAUUGACAUAUUUUCUGGGAUUGCAGAUUGCUUACAAGUCAAAUGGGGACAUUUUUGUGAAUCAAGCCAAAUAUAUAAAGGAUUUGAUUCAUAAGGCAGGUAUGGACUCAUGUAAGCCUGCUAAUACUCCCUGUAAACCACAUGAUCAAAUGCUUAUUUCAGAUGGUCUUCUCAUGACCGAUCCCUCUCUUUAUAGAAGUCUUGUUGGUUCAUUACAAUACCUGACCUUCACUAGGCCAGAUAUUGCAUAUGCUGUUAACACAGUAUGUCAAUUCAUGAAUUCCCCUACAGAAAUGCACUAUGGAGCAGUGAAACGCAUACUAAGAUACCUACAAGGGACUUUGACUUAUGGAAUACUAUAUUCUGCUGACACAGUGACAACAUUAACUGCAUUUUCAGAUGCAGAUUGGGCAGCAGAUCUUAACACUCGCCGUUCAAUCACAGGUUAUGUGGUAUAUUUGGGCAAUAAUCCUGUGUCUUGGCAAUCCAAGAAGCAAAGUUCAGUGUCAAGAAGCUCCACGGAAGCAGAAUAUAAGGCCCUUGCUCACACUGCCGCUGAUGUUGCUUGGGUGAGGGGAAUAUUGAAGGAUUUGGAAGUAUUUUUGCCAUUGCCACCUACGAUUUAUUGUGAUAAUUUGUCCACCAUUGCACUCAGUGCAAAUCCAGUGUUUCAUUCUCGAAUUAAACAUCUUGACACGGAUUUUCACUUUAUAAGGGAGAGAGUUCAACAAGGGGAUUUGGAGGUUGUUUACAUCCCAACAGAAGAUCAAACAGCCGAUGUACUUACAAAAGGCCUGCAUAGUCCAACAUUUCUCAAACAUUGUUACAAUCUUAGGCUUGGUGCCCAAGCCACGAUUGAGGGGGAAUGAUAAGAGAUCCAACGGCUAGAAUGGCAUGAUAGAUCAAGUCAGUUUUUCAAUGGUUAGAUAGCUGCCAGCUCAAAUAGAAAGUCAGUUAGUUAGUUAGUGAGAUAGCUUCCUAGCUAAGAUGAGAUCCCGUGUAUAAAGUCUGAAAUACAACACAGUUUGUAAUAAUUCAUUCUCUCUCUAAAGAUCAAUACACAGAAUAUUUUUCAUUCUUUCUCUCUCUCUUUUCGCAUUCAUUCUUCAGUUUGUUGUUCUUCAUAGAACCAUUCCUUAGUUCUGUUAACACCUGCAAGCAACAAUGGCGAGUGAACUGAUUGAUUCGAACUCAAAGACUUGGAAUGCAGACGUGAUCUUGGCGGGCUUUAAUCAGGACGAUGUGGCACCGAUUUUAAGCAUUCCGUUUAAGCAGGAAAUGUUGUAGUGACAGGUUGGUGUGGCACCACACUACGAAUGGGGUGUACACGGUUAAAUCCGGCUAGGGGGUGGCGUUGGGUCUUAUGGAAAAUGGAGCACUGUGGAGGAAAGGGCCGGGAUCGGCGAGAAAACAAAUCACAAUCAGGUGUGGAAUAGGAUAUGGAGUUUGGAGGUCCCUAAUAAAAUGAAAUUUUUUGUAUGGAGGUGUUGCAAAAAUGCUUUGGCGGUUAGACAAAAUCUGCAGAGACGACAUAUGAAGACUGAUAAUGUAUGCGGGGUGUGUAGCCUAUGUGAUGAAACGGAAAACCAUUUGGUUUUCCACUGCGAACUCAGCCACCUAUUUUGGUUAUGUUCGCCGCUUCAACUUAAUUCCUUUGAUUUGGAAUGCGCUGACUUCUUAGAAAGCUAGGAGAAAUUCUGUAACCGUGUUAAGGGAAUGGAAAAUGCAGCUGAGAUCAUGCAAGAAUUUGUCUUCGGGUUAUGGAGACUAUGGAAAAACAGAAAUGAGGUGGUUUUAAAUGGAGUGCACUGAUGGCCUUUAGAGGUUUUGGAGGUAUGGAAGAGGAACAUCUCUGAAUUCAGAGAUGCGAAGGCACAUGGGGUAGCGGGAGUGAGUCCAAAUACGGGGACGACGACCUUGGCAUUGAAACGACAGAACGAACAAUGGCAGAAAUUGGGGUUUGGGACAAUUAAGAUUAAUACCGAUGCGGCUUGGUGCAAGUAUACGUUGCGUGCGAGAGUGGGCUGGGUUGUUCGAGAUUUUGCAGGUUUGCUGCAAGCAGCGGGAGGCUUGGGAGUUAUGCAUUGUCAUAAUGCAGCAGAGGCUGAAGCUACAACAAUCUGUGAAGCUUUGGAGUUUUGCAUUGAGCUGGAGUUGACAACUUGAUUAUUGAAUCCGAUGAAAAGGUGAUUAUUCAAAUGACUGACUCAUGAUUAUAGCCUUGAAUGUAUCCUUGGUGACAUUGAGACUCUAGCGCAAAGUUUGAGGUCGGUAACGUUUGACUUUGUGUCUAGAGAGAGUAACCGUGCUGCUCACUCGGUGGUUAAGUUUGUGUUUAAGGAGGGUCAUUCCUUUGUAUGAGAUUGUAUUGGUCAUGAGUUCUUGUUUAAUAUUAAUUAGUGCAAGAUAUUAACUUUUCUAUUCGAUUAUAAUAAAUUCUAUAUUUUGGAAAGAAAAAAAAAUUGAACUCAUAAUCUUCUCCAAAAAAAAAAGGGAAAUCUAGAGCCGCUAACCCAGAGCUCUUAAAAGAAACCAAACUAGGGAAGAUUGUUUAGAGAAUUGGCUAGAGUUGUUGCUUUUUUAUUUAUGAGUCGAGCGACAAUGUUAGUAAAUUAAAUGUUAGAUUAGCUACCAACGAGGUUUGAAUUUAUGUCAUCAUGUAAGGGCACAACACUUUCCACUACUGUGGUAAAGGGCUAAAAUUUUAAUAAUAGAUAAUUAGGUGAAUGAUUUUCUGAUUACUCUAUGUCAACAAUAACAUAUACACACACACACACACAUACAAAUUCAACAUCCAAUUACGCCUAUUUCUAAGGCUAGGAAUCCGUGAUCCACCUUUGAUCUAGACUAAAACAGGAAAUUAAGGUAAAUCUUGCAAAUAUAUUACAAAGAUAAUUCUCAACACAAAACGAUAAUGAGCAAAGAAAGUGUAAUAAAUAUUGUUGUAGAAAAAUUAAGAGAAGGUGCUGUAUUUAGUAACCCAUACACGAAAAUUUUGGUAGAAAUAAUUCGACCCCAAAAGAAACUUUGAAAUAGGAAUUGAGGAGUAGUGCUACAAAUAGCACAAGAAAGUUUGAAUGUUUGUAGUAUUUGGGUAUGCAAACCUUUACACGACCUUAUCUAUACUCAAAAAGUUGAAUUAUGUAUUAUGUAUUAUAUGGAGAGUAACUUAGUGUCUUGAAGAAUAUAAAUUAUGGUUUAAAAAGUCCUCGUUGUAAAUUUUGAAAAUUUGUUGGAUAUGAUCACAUGUAGUUACAAUUCAAGUGUUGUCUUCUUUUUUUAUUUUUAUUUUUUUGUCAAAGCUUGAGGUAUCUCACAUCCCAAAAGGUAGACUAAUUUUUAGUGGAGCUUGGAAAGGCUAACAGUCCAGCCUAUCCCUGGCCACAAUUAAAUACCACAUUUCCUCCCAAGAUUUUUAAUCAGAUAAUCACUUGUAUUUUUGCCAACUUUGUGCCUACCACAGAGCAUACUGAACUUGAAAUUCUAACGUGUUUCUACUGCACCACUUGCAGUGGUUAUUGUUUAUACUAUCAAGAGGACAGACUUUGUCAUAAUUUUUGUGAAAAUACCAUUUAUGUCCACACAUCUUUUUAUCCUUAGUUGCGAUAAAUAACCUUUAUAUAAUAAGAUUAAAAUAGGAAUUUUGUGGAUUUAAAUUAUUAAAUUAAAUUAGAGUUCUUCCACGUUUUUCUCCAUCUUUUUUCAAUAUGUUUCUCCCACGUGCAUAGAACGAUUGAAUGUUUGUAAUAUGCGAACCUUUUACACGACGUGACUUAUACUCGGACAAAAAAAUUGAAUUUUAUCGUUGGCCGCUAAAGUCCCAUUUGACCUUGACAUAAUUUAUCAUGCAUUAUUUGGAGAGAGAAUAAAGUGUCUUUAACGAAUAUAAAUUAUGAUUAAUAAAUCCUCGUUGUAAAAUUUCAAAAAUCAUAAGGUAUUACUAAUAUAAGUGUUGUAUAUACUAUUAUUUUAUUUUUUUUGUCAAAUCUGGAGGUAUCUCACAUCCCGAAGAAUAAGAUUAAUUCUCAGUGAGGCCUGUCAAGGCUAAGGCAUUACACCUAGGCCUGACAAUUCCUGACACGACUCGAUAAUCCAACACGACACGACACGAAAUUAACAAGUGUUCGGGUCGACACGAUAACGAAACGGGUCGUUAUCGGGUAACCCGAUAAGCACCUGUUAAGAUAACGCGUUGGUUCGGGUAUACACGUGGGUAACACGAUACACGAUAAGCAGAAUAUUAAUUUAAUAAUUUUAUAACCCUAAAAAACUAUUAUAAUAAUUAUAUAUAUUAAUUUAACAAUUUUAUACCCCUAAAAACUAUAAUAAUUAUAUAUAUAUAUAUAUAUAUUAAAUUAACUAUAAUAAUUAUACCCCAAAAAUAUUAACUAUAAUAGUUAUAUAUAUAUAUAUAUAUAUUAAAUUUUAUACCCCCUAAAAACUAUAAUAAUUAUACAUACAAAAUAAAUAGAUUUAAAUCUACUUAAUAAAUAAAUAAAUAUAUAUAUACAUACACACACCAUUGAAGUUCAUGGGAUACGAAUUAUACGAAACUAAUUUCAACGAUCUAACCGUCAAACUUGUUUGUAUAUGCUUCGAGAUUGCAUCAGCAAAAAAUUACAAAAAAAAAACAUUCACAGAUCAAGUAACGAGACAAAACUUUCCGACAGUUAUAAACGAAAAAAUCACGAUUUAACGGUUAUUUUAACUCCGAUUUUGAUGAUUUUUUACAGCUACACUCCUUGACCCUAUAUGAAUACAAUGAAUAAAUUUGAUCUUCAAUUUAAAAUAUUUACACUAGUGGAUACCACAAAAUCUUAUGUUAUAUUUGAUGAAAGUAUGAAUAAACUCUUAAGUGUUAGUGAAUCAAUUGUUUUGAUGGGAUACGCAUUCUACGAAACUAGUUUCAACGAUCCAACCGUCAAACAUGUUUGUAUAUACUUCGAGAUCACAUACGCCAAAAAUUGCAAAAAAAAAAAACAUUCAGAGAUCAAGUAACGAGACAAAACUUUUCGACGGUUAUAAACGAAAAAUCACGAUUUAACGGUUAUUUUAACUCCAAUUUUGAUAAUUGUUUACAGCUACACUCCUUGACCCUAUAUGAAUACAAUGAAUGAAUUCGAUCUUCAAUUUAAAAUAUUUACACUAGUGGAUACCACAAAAUCUUAUGUUAUACUUAAUGAAAAUAUGAAUAAACUCUUAAGCGUUAGUGAAUCUAUUGUUUUGAUGAGAUACGCAUUUUGCGAAACUAGUUUCAACGAUCCAACUGUCAAACUUGUUUGUAUAUGCUUCGAGAUCGCAUACGCCAAAAAUUGCAAAAAACAAACAUUCAGAGAUCAAGUAACGGGACAAAACUUUUCAACGGUUAUAAACGAAAAAUCACGAUUUAACGGUUAUUUGAACUUCGAUUUUGAUGAUUUUUUACAUCUACACUCCUUGACCCUAUAUGAAUACAAUGAAUGAAUUCGAUCUUCAAUUUAAAAUAUUCACACUAGUGGAUACCACAAAAUCUUAUGUUAUACUUGUUAAAAGUAUGAAUAAACUCUUAAGUGUUAGUGAAUCUAUUGUUUUGAUGGGAUACACAUUCUACGAAACUAGUUUCAACGAUCUAACCGUCAAACAUGUUUGUAUAUACUUCGAGAUCGCAUACGCCAAAAAUUGCAAUAAAAACAAACAUUCAGAGAUCAAGUAAUAGGACAAAACUUUUUUACGGUUAUAAACAAAAAAUCACAAUUUAACGGUUAUUUUAACUCCGAUUUUGAAACUUUUUUACAGCUACACUCCUUGACCCUAUAUGAAUACAAUGAAUGAAUUCGAUCUUCAAUUUAAAAUAUUUACACUAGUGGAUACCAUAAAAUCUUAUGUUAUACUUAGCGAAAAUAUGAAUAAACUCUUUAGUGUUAGUGAAUCUAUUGUUUUGAUGAGAUACGCAUUUUGCGAAACUAGUUUCAACGAUCCAACCGUCAAACUUGUUUGUAUAUGCUUCGAAAUCGCAUAUGCCAAAAAUUGCAAAAAAUAAACAUUCAGAGAUCAAGUAACGGGACAAAACUUUUCGACGGUUAUAAACGAAAAAUCACGAUUUAACGGUUAUUUUGACUCCGAUUUUGAUGAUUUUUUACAGCUACACUCCCUGACCCUAUAUAAAUACAAUGAAUGAAUUCGAUCUUCAAUUUAAAAUAUUUACACUAGUGCAUACCACAAAAUCUUAUAUUAUACUUGAAAGUAUGAAUAAACUCUUAAGUGUUAGUGAAUCUAUUGUUUUGAUGGGAUACGCAUUCUACGAAACUAGUUUCAACGAUCCAACCGUCAAACAUGUUUGUAUAUACUUCAAGAUUGCAUAUGCCAAAAAUUGCAAAAAACAAACAUUCAGAGAUCAAGUAACGAGACAAAACUUUUCGACGAUUAUAAACGAAAAAUCACGAUUUAACGGUUAUUUUAACUCCGAUUUUGAUGAUUUUUUACAGCUACAUUCAUUGACUCUAUAUGAAUACAAUGAAUGAAUUCGAUCUUCAAUUUAAAAUAUUUACACUAGUGGAUACCACAAAAUCUUAUGUUAUACUUAAUGAAAGUAAGAAUAAACUUUUAAGUGUUAGUGAAUCUAUUGUUUUGAUGGGAUACACAUUCUACAAAACUAGUUUCAACGAUCUAACCGUCAUACUUGUUUGUAUAUGCUUCGAGAUCGCAUACGCCAAAAAUUGCAAAAAACAAACAUUUAAAGAUUAAGUAACGGGACAAAACUUUUAGACGGUUAUAAACGAAAAAUCACAAUUUAACUGUUAUUUUAACUCCAAUUUUGAUAAUUUUUUACAACUACACUCCUUGACCCUAUAUGAAUACAAUGAUUGAAUUCGAUCUUCAAUUUAAAAUAUUUACACUAGUGGAUACCACAAAAUCUUAUGUUAUACUUAAUGAAAGUACGAAUAAACACACUAGUGGGUCACUUUCAUUAAGCUUUGAGUUCCAUUGGCAAGGUUUAAAUUUUUGAGAAAGGCUUCACAACCUUGAAAACAAAAACGCUUUCAUUUUGCAUAUCCUUGCACAUUUAAUAUUUGUAAUAGAUUAGUAGUGUAUUUUUUAUGAGGCUCUUAUUUUCGAGUGUAGAUGUAGUACUGAAGCGAAAAAUGUGUUUUAAUGUUUUGAAGUAAUAUUUAUGUGACAAUGUGUGGUAUGUGCAAAUUUAAGAAGAAAAAAAAUAUUUUUCUUAAUGGGUCAUAACGGGUCGGGUCACUUUACCCAUUGGGUAAAGUGACCCGACCUGUUCAGGACCCGUUAAGAUAACAGGUGUGACACGACACGACCCGUUAAGAUAACAGGUGUUACAUAAAAACGACACGAACACGACUGACACGACCUGUUUGCCAGGCCUAAUUACACUCCACUUUUGGCUAUGGUCAAAUGGCACACAUCUUCUUAAAACUUUCAACUAAAAAAUCAUAUGUAUUUUUGCCAACUUCGUACCUCGAACUCAAAGGCCACAAAGUAUACAUGGUUUGGAAUUUUACUGCAUUUCUACUAGACCAUUUACCGUGAUUGUUGUCUAUAAUAUUAUUUAGAGAACACACUCUCUCUGACUUUUCUUCAAAUACCAUUUAUGUCCCCACAGGUCCCCUUUUUUAUCCUUAGUUGCAAUAAAUAACCUUAAUAUAAUAAGAUUAAAAUAGACUUUUAUUUAAAAUUCUUCCACAUUUUUCUCCAGCUUCUCUUUCGAUAUGUUUCUCCUACAUGCAUAGCAUGUGUGAGAUUGCUAUUAUAACAAAAGAGUUGAUUAAUAAUACAUAUCAGGUGAUGAUAUUACAACUUACACUUAAAGAGUUUCUCAAUAAUUUCGGGUAAUAUAUUGUGACAACUUUUUUUUAAAUGAAAAUAAUAAUAUACUACUCUAAGUUUACGUACACUUAGAAAAGGAAAAGAGUUUAAUCCGUAACACAAUAAAUUGAAGAGAAAGACUCUAUUCACCAAAGCAAAUCCAUCACUUGCAUUGUGACAUCUUUCUGACAUGCAACUUUUCUUUAGGGGUGUGAUAUCCACACACCCCAUUUUACUUCUCACACACCUUUUUAAUUUUCGGCUGUCAGAUCGGAUGAAUUGAAGAAGAUCAACAGACAGAAAUUAUCAAGGGGUGUGUGAGAAGUAAAAUGAGGUGUGUGGAUAGCACACCCCUUUCUUUAUUUCAUUACAUAUCAUAUCUUUUGCAUGUAAAUUUUCUUGAUGAUUUCCAAAUUUUAAAACGAUGCAAAACAACAUUAAUUAGUUUAAACUCAAACUAGCUCAAUGGGGAGGAGUAUAUGAAUUGAAUUCAAUUAGUGCACGCCAAGUGUUUGAUAUAUAUUUUGAUGCUCCAGAGUCCACAGGCAUAUCGUUCAUGAUAUUGCAUGCCAUUGUAAAAAGAAAACGUUCAUUAUUACAUGACUCACGUCAAUGCAUAUUAAUUUAGAUAUCACGUAUAAUUAAAAAGGUUUUACUAUACCGAUUGAGUCAUUUUUUCGAUGUGACAGUUACAUUGUCAUGUGAUGUUUGUGGAUGCAAAUUCUUUUGCUCCUUGUUCUUGGACAAAAUUACAUCUACAAAACAAAUAACACCUUAGGUCAAGGCCAAAAGCCUCACGCGCCCACAAUGAAUGGGGGGGGCUUUGGCCGAAGAACCUCUGAUGUCAAAGUUAGAAUUUAGAGAGAAAAGUGUUUGGAGAGUUUUUGGAAGUUUUGCAAGAGUGUCGAACCUAGGUUUUUAGAGAAAAUGGGGUGAUAUAUAUAGGGCAUGGCCGGUCCCCUUUGGAGAAAAGGUGGCCGGCCCUUUGGGGUAUUUUUGUGUGAGAUGGGUGAUUUAAUUGGCAAUUAAUAGAUUAAUUAGGUAAUAAAUCCAUUAAUUAGCCAAUUAACUCAAUUUAUAUGGAAUUUGAAGAUUAUGGAACAAAUACCUCAUGGAGAAUAUAGGAUGAAGAUAGAUGAAAUAAUUUUGAAUUUGUUACCUAUUUUGGGCACUUUUGGCUUGAUUGAAGAAUGGUUGUCCACUGCUCGAUCGUAGGAAAUCCGGUGUGCCUCAAGGGUAAGUUUGUCCUUUUCAUCAAAAAUUCACGUGUCACCUUAUGAUUAGUUUUGGCUCCACAAUAUUAUUUAUCCAUCAAAUUAUAACGUGCGAAGUACUAACACCAAGUGACAGUGGAGCCGUCUCAAUCCAAGGUUGGCAUCAAAGGUGCCUUUUAAACCAGAUGUAGAGUCCUCACUAUGCACACACACAUAUAUAUGGUAUAAUAGGCAUCUCUGCAAACAUUGUCAGAGGUUUUGUGGAGCAGGUAAUAAAUUUUCGCAAUUCUGCAGUUUAACUUCUUGUCAAUAAAUGGCAGUUGCUCUUAAACUCACUGUUAAAUUAAGGAUGGUGCUAUAUACACAUCAUUUUUUUUACCUCUCACACAUUUUUCUUAAUUUUAGCCAUCAGAUUGAAUGAAUUAAAAAAAUUAAUAGACAAAAUUACCAAUGAUGUGUUAGAGGUAAAAAGAGGUGUGUGAAUAGCACUACCUUAAAUUAGAAGAAAACUAAUGAAAAGAGCUUGAAAACUUUGAGUUUUAACGAUAAGGACAAAAUAAAGGGUAAAGUAAAUAGUACCAGGUUUGACUUUUUAGUGUAAAAAUGUGGUUUUUCGUUAAGGUAAACAGUACCGUGGGCUUUUUGUUAAAACUUCAUAAAUUAAAAGGUAAAUAAACUCAUGCUAGAGCUAAAGAUGCAUACAUGCCCAAAAAGAAAUAGUAAAUAAAGAAUUUAUUCUAUACUUCGUCAUAUUCAGUCAACUUCUUCAUAUACAUUGUAAAGCUAAUACACUUUAAUUUUACAUGUAAGGAAAAAAAAAACCUAGACUGCAGGCAUUUUCCUGUGCUUAUUCACUGCUAGGAAAAUAUAUAAAAUGUUUAAUUUGAUUUAAAAUUAAUUCUGCUAAUGCUUUUCGUUGAUGGUUGCACUUCGAUGUAGAAUCUUUGGAAUUGGUACUACUUCAAGGUGUGGUCGGAUUUGGACCUCCGGAAGGGGUAGUGCUCCUAAGUAUUUGCCUGAUCAAAGGGAAGAAGGGACGAUCCAUCUGAUGCAUAAACUUUUCUUCCCCAUGCAACACUCUGCAGGCCUCGGACGAUUGCAUGUUCAUAAGAAAAACCAUUAAAAACACUGCCACCAAAAAUAUUUUUAGAAACUUCAUUUUGUUGGGCAAACAAAGACUAUUUUGCAUCUAAUUUUCUGCGGAAGAAGAAAUGAAGGAAUGAAUGAAGAUAAAGUUAAAGGUUUGUUGCGAAAACAAAGAUUUUGCUUCUUUUAUCUGUCUGUGAAAAACAGAAAGGAUUGAAGGAAUUAAGGAAUGAAUGAAUAGAUGGGGAACAUGGGGCUUUUUACAUGCAUCAAUUAAGACCAACUUUCAUAUGACUUUGAUUUUUUAAUAUAAAUCUAUUUGUUUCGUUGUUUUGACUAUUAAAUGAUGAUUAUAUGCUAAGGACUUAGAAUUGAAUGGGUAGUCAUAUCCGCAAGGGUUUUGGUUUUAGGGUUUCACUGUAUUGUGGACCUGUAAAAAAUCAAAGCUAAUUAAUUAUAGGCUUAGAUGUCAAAAUUGUCCUUGUGUUAUAACUAUAUAUGGUCAAUUUAGUCCACAUGUUUUCGAUUUGGCUAAUUUAGUCCUUAUGUUAGUCUCCUUUAGUCAAUUAAGGACAUUUUAUUCAGUCUUGUUAAAAAAAAUCAUAAGAAAAAUUAUAAGAUAUAUGAUUACCCUUUCUCUUUACAGAAAAAUGCAAAUCAAUGAGAAAUAACACAUAUAAGAGAUAAAACUUCCAAUCUGAAAAAUGAUUAAGGUUGUGACAUAGAAAAUAGAGCGGGUAACGUUAGGAAGGAGACUUCGGGGAGUUGGGAGGACAUUAAUUUUUCUUUUAAUUUUUAAUUUUUAUUUCAUUUUAAAAUCAAAUAAAUAAUUUUAUAAUAAUUAUAAUUUUUUGUAAUAAUUUAAUAAUUAAGUUAUAAUAGUUUAUACAGAAAUUAGAUGGAAAUAUCCUUAAUUGGCUAAAGGAGAUAAACACAAGGACCAAAUUGGUCAAAUUAAAAACAUAUGGACUAAAUUGACUUAAUGACUAAAACACAUGGAUCUUUUUAACAUUUAAGCCUUAAUUAUAUAAUAACACAAUCCUUUCUUGAUGCCCAAAAAUAGCACAUUUUUUCUACUCUUAAGUUCCUGCAAGAAACAUUUUACGCCUAAUUUAAGUUGAGCUGCCACUCAGUACUAUGGUCUAGUGGUAUUCCUCUUCACUUGAAUGUGGCUGGACGAUCGUCCGACGCCCCAAAAAAUUGGGGGCACCAAAAUUAUUAAAGUGUUAUGUUAUAUUGAUAUAUAUUUUUUAUAAGAGUAUAGAUUUUAAUUUGGUUAAUUGACAAAGAAAUUUAACUAUAAUUGGUGGUUUUUUUUUUUUGUUAAAAUUAAUGAGGAGGUCUUGGGUUCAAAGCACCAUGUGUGUUUAUUUUAUUUUCAAUUUUUACAAAUUUCUUUUCAUAUGAGUAUAAAUGUAUAAAAUUUGGUAAGUAGUUGUUUAUUUUAUUUAAAAUAAACAAGGAGGUCCCGGGUUCAAAACAAUAUAUGUCUCUUUUACUUUUCAACUUUUACGAAUUUCUUUUCAUGGGUUUAAAGUUAUGAAAAUUGGCUAAAUGAUCUAGAGGUUAAUCAAAAGUAAUGGUUUUUGUUGCUAAAAUUAAUGAGAGAUCUUGAGUUCGAAAUGUUGUGUGCAUGUUUGUUCUUUUCAAUUUUUACGAGUUUCUAUUUGGUUGUUAAUUUCUUUUUAAUUAUUAGCUAUUAGAUAUGUGGGUUGCAAUUUUAAAACAUUUGUGUCAAUUCAAGUCUAAAUUUAAACAAAGAGUAAUGCAUAGACCAAAUUUGCAAAUCAUAUGAUGUGUCACCAAUAAGUUUAAUUUAGUAUCAUUUAUUCCUUAUACAUAUCAAUUAAAGACUCGAAAGCAUCAUUAUUUUUAUAGACCCAUAUUGACAAGAUUAGUAAAUAAGAAAAAACACAUCACGAUUUAUAUAAAAACUUUCAGGUAGAAAAACAAGACUCAUCAUCCAUCUACUUGUAAGCCCGAGGUUUUUUCGUUCCUGUACAAAAGAAAUUAAUUUUUCCGUGCUUCUAAAUUAUUGAGCUU